rnacentral:lncRNA from 1 species
UACACGUUAUUUGGCACACCGACCGUCCCCAGCGCAAGUGGCAGAAAAACUUGAUGGUUGGUAGUCGAUAUCCAAGUUUGAAUCCUAGUUAAUUCACGUUAUUUGGCACUAAAUUUAAAUAGAAAAUAUUAUCUAUAUACUCUUUUUGGAAUGUACAUCUUAGACGCUCCAUCUGUGAAACAACCGUUGUACUCUAAAAAGUGUUUUAAACAUUUUUAUAUUUAGUCGGCUCAUGACGUUGGCUUAAAUUAAAUGAGAGAAAAUUAAUAUGCUAGGAGCCUGACGUGACUCUAACUCAGCACUUCCUACUCUGAUAUCAUGUGAAAUAAUCGUUGUACUCUAAAAUCUUAAGCUGUUAGAGAACGGUAUUUUAAAUAUUUUUAUAUUUAACACCAUCCAAGGAUUGAUGUAACCUUUUUCAGGUUUUAGUUAAAAAAAGAAAAGAAGGGUAGGACAAGUAGGUUUAUGUAAGGUUUAUAUGUAGCAUCGUUCAAUUUAAAUAAAACUCAAUCAAUUUCGGGUGAGAGAAAUUUAGUUUUUUUUUUUUUUUUUUUUUUUUUUUUUUUUUUUUUUUUUUUUUUUUUUUUUUUUCUUUGAGAGAUAGGUAGGACGCUAUCCGCUUCGUUUAUUUUAUUUAGAAAUAAACUUAGCUGAAAAUAUGAAUCAAUUAGGAUUCGAACUUGGAAUCUCGGAUACCAACCACCAAGUUCUUUGCCACAUGCUCUAGGGACGGUCGGUAGAGAAAUUUAGUUGAGUUCAUUUAGAAAUGAAAUUCUUUCGGAGUUCCGCUGGAUUCAAUUUUCUUUUGUUGCUUGGUAAAAUUUAAGAAAUCAUUUCAAUGUGAUUAGUUUAUGGUAUUUUGGAAUAUUGAUAAAGAAUAACAAAUGAAUUCUUAUCAAAUCCGACUUCAAAUUAUAAGAAUUGGAUGAAAAUCAUUUGUAUUAUGAAAAAUUCAACAAAUUUUUCUGAAUAAAUUGAAUUUCCAUUAACAUUUUAUAAAAACAACAUAGUUGAAAAAUAAAUAAAUAAAUAAAUAAAUUCUAAUUCUUUAUAAUUCUAAGGUUUCGAGCAGGGGGGGAUCUAAAUGUAUAGAACCUGAAUUGAGACCCAUUUAAAUUGGCUAUUCAAAUUUUUUUAAGAAAAAAGUUAAUUGUGUUUGUUUUAUUGUUAUUAGUUAAUUUGAUUUAGAUUAUAUGAUGACUAUGGUACUUUAAAAUUCGGAUUGGUCAUUUAUUUAGAUGUUGGUGACUAAACUAUUUUGAAUUUUUUGCUCGAAUACCAUAUAAAAUAAUCACUUGAAGUUUGAUAUUAUAUUAUUUAACAUUGAUCAAAUCGAAUGUAAUUCAGAUAACUUCCAAAUAUUUUAUUCUAAUUAUUGUGGUUUGAUUUUUUUUUAAAUUUUUUUUUUUCUCUGGUUGGGAAUGUUAGGUUCCAGAGGGAUUAAGUCGACACGUGACCUCGUCAAAGAAGGAACAAGCUAAUUGGUAAUUUCUUGUUCAUUUAAUUUCGAGGAUCACAAAAUAAAACAACAAAUUAAGAGCAGUUUUUUUUUUUUUGUUGGAAUGUAUGGAGUUAACUUGAGAUAAAAUGAAUUGUUAAUAUCUCGGUUCGAACAGAAUAACUACUAAGUUUUUCUCUCUAUUUUUUAAAGGGUUGUGUUUUCGUUGCAUGAACAUCUUAUUUAGCAUUCUCUUUUGUUUAUCUAAGAAACAAGUUAAGGUGCUUUUAAAAAAAAAAAAAAAAUAGCAUACUAUUCAUUUUAUUUAUUAGAAGUCUGAACUACAUUACAGGGGUGAGGUAAUCGGCCUGAGUGGAGAUGACGAACGAAAAAAAAAAGAGAAGUUGAGGAUUAACAAAUAAGAAGUAGCUACUUUGCCGAGAUGAAUUUCUCCCACAAUUAAAAGAAUCGCAUUAAUCUUUCUAAAAUUACAUCAUUUUUGGCAUUUCAAAUAACCCACUAGCAAGCUAUUAGUCUAGUCAGUCUAGAAUGAGUAGGCUGAGUUCUCUAUCUUGAUAUUCACUUAUCCCAGACGGCAGUCACAUCGUCACCCAAAUCCAUCGACUAAAAUCCCCUCUAAGGCUGUCGCUACUAGGAAUUUACUAAAUAUACAUUGCAUGAAUAAAUGGUCCACAGUUUUCUCAUCCAACCCGCACAGUACACAGGUUGUGACCCCGACCCACUCUCUUGUAAGUAGGUUGUCCGCCGUAAGAUGCCUCUUCUUAAGGUGCCUUAUAUACCAACUUAAUGUAGGUAUAAGAAGCUACUGGAGGCAUGGAAACAAUCCAAGCCACCACCCAAAGCACCAGAAGAAGCAACCAACCUUGUUGUAUUGACCCUGAAGAGGCUUCACAGGACAGAGGUUGAGGUGAAUCAUUUGAGCUCCAAUAUAAUUUUGUUCACCGAAAUUCACACAUGUAAUAAGCUAAUCUUUGAUUAUCUUUUUCUUCAGGGUCUCUUAGCAUUCUAUGGCCUUCCGCCUGCUUCGCGACCCGUCGCAGAAAGCUCAGAUGUUCCAUCAUCUUGGCCUGAAGGGGUGAAGUUUGAGUUACACACUCUGCCAGUUAUGAACACCCUCACCUUGCAUCUUCAGCAAGAGAAUUACAAAUAUUAUGUUUGUGGCUAACACUUUUGGUUACUUAACUGUUACAUUCUCGAUCGAGUUCCAGAGUUAAAACUUGUCUCAGAUUAGUUACUUAAUGUUUAUAUCACAAUUUUUGUAGGCUAACUUAACUGAUAACAAAAGAUGUGUCUAGCUACGAAAAUCGCCUUCUUUAAGCAUGUUGGCUGUUUUGUAACUUUCGAACUUUGGAACUGAUACCGUCAGGUCAAUAAAAAGUGUGUUGUCGACGGAGAUGGCUUGACCGUGUACGUGGACACCGCAGUACCCAGAGAGUCGGCGAAUGUCCCACGAGAAGUGCAUGAAGCGGCCAUCGAGAGGACCAGAGCUCGAGCUGCAAAGGACUAUGCAAAGGCCGACGCACUUCACAAGAGCAUUAUUGAGGCAGGAUAUAGGUAGGGAAAUUCAGUUUUCGUCGAGAGUCUAAUUGUAAUGCUUCGUGUACCUUCGAAGGUCCCCUCGAAUGUUGUCGAUGAAUUUGCGUUGUACAUGUGACAGUUGGUGAUCGGUUUAACAUUUUAAAGUUGAUGAUAUAUCAGGUGUCAUGUUUGAAUUGAAGAUACUAAACCAAUUCUACACAAAUUUUCCACUUCAGGGUCCUUAAUGGUCCCAACAAUGAGGAGACGCUCGCGAGAAAGUACCGCAUAAGAUUGAGGUAUGCAUCAUAUUACAGCUCCAUCUAGAGAUAUUAUUCGCUGGCCGACAUGUAUCUUCUCAGCGUAAAUUGUACUACAUCUCUUGCUCUAAUACCAUGGAACUCACCUAUUUUCUUUCUAAAACCUAAGCUACAAUCCGUACCUUUGCGAUCGUUAUCAUUCCAUAAAAUUCGUUGAUAAACAAGAUCAAAAUGCUGAUGUAAUUUCCUUAUGAGAAGUCCCAAAUUUGCUCACUAUGAGCCAUAAAUGUAGGGGAGUCGAUGCGCCAGAAGGGAAGAUGCCUUAUGGGAGGGAGUCCAAGGAUGAAUUGAGUAGGCUAGUUCAAGGAAAGAGACUGAAGAUCCAUGUAUAUGGAGAUGAUCAGUAUGGUCGAUGCAUCGGCGACGUAUACUGCGAUGACAUAUUUAUUCAGGUGAAACUGUAAUAUCAAUUAACACUCUCGUACGCGAAUCACAAUUGCAGUGUUUUUCAAUUCUCACUUCUGUGUAAAUGGCAAACUUCAGGAGCAAAUGCUAAAGAGAGGCUUCGCAUGGCACUAUGCGGUGUAUGACCGACGCCCGGAGUUCGCGAAGGUGAGUUCUGCGAAAGAAAAGCUCUGUCGAAAAGCUUUCGCUGACAGUGAAUUGUUCAUUUGCAUAUUUUUUUAUCCGGGACUUGGAAUCUCUUUAAAUGCUCGGAUAUUUAGAGAUAAACGGUUGUUUCACAUGUUCAGGUUCGCAAUUUGCGAACAAUUUGAAUUGGUGGCAGUCGAUUCUUAAGGUUUAAAGUUCUACUCACUGCAGUGGGAAAAAGAAGCGAGUUCGGCUCGGAGAGGGCUGUGGGCUUCAUCGAACCCGGAGAAGCCGUGGGAAUGGAGAAAAGAUCACCGAAAUGCAGGAAGAGAACACAAUGUCCCCAUUCAGGUGUACUGAUUGAUCACUAAGCUCUUAUAAAAAGUGUAACUUGUGAUUUAUGGGAACUUCCUUGUGAUAUAUAAUUGUAUAAUUAAUGAGUGGGAUCUGGAACUGCUUACUUAUCCAAUGCUGCAAACAUGGUUUGAAGUGCUUUUAAGCUUUGCUGUAAUAGUGAAUUUGCUGUUGUGUAGCUUUUAAUACUCUGAAAUUUUUAGCAAAUUAUGUUGCUUUGGCAUUUUCAGAUGCUUCACUGCAUAUGAACAUUUAACAAUGUCCUACUGAGAACUAAUGCAUGCACCAGUGUACCAUUUCUUGAAUAGAGAUAAUUGAAGUUAAUUUGAACCAUCAUGUAAUUCAAUAUUAUGGUGAAUAAUUGCUGCAUAUGAAGGGCUGUAAUGAUUCAGUCAGGUAGCAAUAAUAAUUUAUUAGGCCCAAACUAUCGGUCCAAAAUGCUUAAACGUAGUUAUUGUUAAUAGGGUGCAAGGUCUCGUAUAUUCUAAAUUAGAUUUUUUUUUUUUCUUCCGAUGUGAGACUAUUGGGGCAUUAUAAGUUUUUUUUGUUUAGACUCUGAUAUUCUCGUCAUGUCUAAAAUCAAUCACAGACAUAUAGAUCAAAAUUUUCAAUGGUGUAGUAUUUUGCACCGUAUAACAAUUUUUAUUAUUAAGGUGCAAGCCCUCGUAUAUUUCAAAUCAGAAAUUUUUUUUUUUUCAUCCGAUGUGAUACUAGUGAGAGAGUUAUACUUUCAGAUCAAACCAGCUAACGAGAACUAAAACAUUGCAUCCAGGCCGGAUUUUAUUUUUUAUUUUUUUAAUCUCGUGAGAUGAAAAAACUGUGACAAUAUCAAUUUUAUAAAAAGAAGCGAAAAAGAUCCCCCAUUAAUUAUUACUUUACGGGGAAAAUCAAUGGGCUAGUACAUUGCACGAUUAUAAGAUCAUGUAACUUUGGUUGUUCAAUUUUUCACCAUCAUGCAUGGCAUCAUCUACCUGAUUGAAUUAGCAUAGUACCAGGUGGACUCAUCCUGUGCCGAUUCUCGCCUUGAUCGCCCUCUCCGUCGACGGCGAUCACCAAAUUCUCGCCUCGAUCGCCCUCUCCGUCGACGACGACAAUCGCCAACCGCUCGCUCCAAGUCGGAGGGCUCGAUUUCUCCGACGGGCCCGAGCUACCUUCUCUCUCCAACGGCUCCAACCCUUGCACCCCCUCCUCGGUCCCCCUUUCACAAAAACUACCUCCCUCCACGUCGUAAAAAUUCCCCGUCCUCACCUCUUGCGCCAACGAGCACGACCAGCAGAACAACCACCGCGCAACAUCACUCACCGCAGCACUGCCGCAGCAAAACCGACUCUCGGGGAGUUUGAACCUCUUCCUCAUUCGUACUCGCCAGAAGCCGCCGUACAAAACCCCGAGGAAGCACAAAACAAUCCCUAUUACCCCCACUAUAUACCUAACGACCUCAUCAUUUAUGCUCAGCGCCGCCACGUUAAAAACCCAAAAAGGAGCAAUGCAGAGGAACAUAAAUGUAAAUAUAUGCACGUACAUGUUACCGAAUCCGAGCCGCUCCAUGUUCCACCCAAACACACAAAAUGUGCAAAAAAAUGAGAGAGAGGCCACAGUGAGAUCAUCCCAGCAAUCAAAUAACCCGCCAACCCAGACCGGUUUUGUCACAACGACCCUUCCACUAUAGACUUUUUGCAAAUUAGUCCCUGACUCGUUGUGCGGCUCCGGCGACUCAACGGUCGCCACGUGUCCGCGUUUUUUACCCAGAGGCCCAUAAAUCAUGUAGAGGGCCGCUACGAUCGGCGCGGCGAGGCCCAGGCCCAUGAAGAGAUAUACGGCCCAAUCGGGCCGGUUUUUGCUCGUGUAGGCCCAAAAGAGGGCGCAAUACGCGUACUGGGAGAAGCACGUGAGGUGGAAAAGCGACACCACGAAAAAUAUAUGCGCGCGCUCGUAGGGUCCACACGCGGGGUUCUUGCAGUAGGUCUUGCGGAGCUCGGCCGCGUCGGACGAUCUCCACCGCAGGAUGAGGAUCAGGUGGUGCGUGAUCAGCGGGUGUUGGUAGAGGCACAUGAUCGUGAAGAGGGCGUUGAGGAUUUGGUUCGUGGUCUCGGUCCACCGUUUCCGCUCCGAGCUUUUGCGGAUUGCACCGUUUAACGAACCCGUCAUUAAGAGGAAGAGUAAUAGCACACCUAUUAUUUAUUCAAAAAAGUGAUAUUAAAAAAAAAAACAUCAUGUAAUUAAAUUUGAACUCAAAAACGCCUGCUUUGAUAAUAUACAUAUAAUAAGAAAACUAUAAUUUCAGAAAUAUAAACUCAAAAAAUUACGAGUAACGUACCUAUUGCGACGAAGAAGAGCCAAACGAGGAGGGCAAUGUUGAGGGGCUUCUUGGCCCAGCUCUUGCAGUAGUCGAAAAGCGCUUUCCAGUCGACUUUGCGGACGAACGGCACGCGGAAGCGCGGCGGGGAGGAGCCGUCGACGGCGGCGGCGGUGGCGCUUUUUCGGCUCCCGUGCCGCUUUGUCAUGAAGCCGAAGUUGAGGAACCAGUCCUUGGAGGGCCGCGCUUUCAGGAAGUCGAGAAGCCGCUUCUCCCUAUCGGGGGUGCGGUGCAGAAGCGCUUUCUCGACCGUUGGGACGUAGAUGGGGAUGUAGUCGCGGAGCUUCAUGCUGCUGCUGCUGCUGCUGUUGUUGUUGUUACCGGUGCUGAGUUUAAUCUCUUCGUGUGGCGGUGAAUGAGUCUUAUUUCUCUCUUCGGAUCUUUCAUUCGAGUCCAUGAAUUGGAUGGAUAUUAACUGCUUAUCUGUUUAGUGUUUGGAAACCAAAAAAAAGAGAAAAAAGAAAUCAUUUGCAUGCUUUGGCUUAAAAUGAAAAUAAAAAAAAAAUAGUGAUCAAAGUAUGUAUAUGUAAUCCUGAUCAAUAUUGAAGCAUUUUGCUACAAUAUUAACAAAUUAGAAUCUCUACAAAAAUGCAUGAUGCUGGAGAUAAUAAAUAACAUCUUUUUUAUACUUAGCAAAGAACAAUUAAUUAAUCUUAUAAGCAAUAAUUAAACUUAUAGUAAUUACCUCUUUCUCUCUACUAGCUUGAUAUAUCCUCUCCUCCUCCUUUAGUUUUAAAGGUAAUAAAAAUAGAGCUUGGGAAAUGCAUGCUUUUUUUUUAUUGCUUCUAUAUAUACAAACAAACGUAAGAAGAAUAACUAAAAUGAAAGGGACAAAUGGGCAUGGGCUUCUCCGCGCGCCUGCAAAUAGUUUUGUUCCAUUGUACGUGUUGCGUCAAAACAUGCAACUUCUUUAUUAUUACUUAAGAAAAGUAAAUAAUUAAUUAGUCGUAGUAGUAAAAUACUAAAAAUGUUGAGAGAGAGAGAGAGAGAGAGAGUUGACGGGUCAAAGAGAGGUAAGAGAGAGAAAGAGAGAAAAAAAAAUUUCAUGCUCUCCGUGCACAGUGCACCGCACCGUAAAAAAAUUAAAAUGUAUACUAAUACUAUCUCAGAGAUUAAUUAAGCUCCAGCAUGAGACUAAAUUUGAGAGUUUUGCCUUCGGCUUAGGCUGUCGGAAAGAAAAAUAGCAAGUAAUCAGCUAGAAAUGUAAUUAACGUAAUUAGGUUUCAAAUGUCAGGGAUUUAAGCUCUUCAUGCGAGCUCAAAUUUGGAGGGGUUUUGCAAUCUAUUCAAACUGCCGGAGAGAAAGAUAUAGCAAACAAUUUGCUUUGUUUAUUUUCUUAAAAAUAAUUAAACUCAGUUAAAAAUAGUGAAGUACUUAGAUUUCAAACUUUGAAACGUCUCAUGCUUCAAACCUAUAUAUAAGAAAUAGGCAUUCAAAAUUUAUAACAUGUGAUAUAUGACUCUUUAAAGAUUUAUAAAUAUUUUAUAUAUUAAAAUUUAAUUUUUAGACCUUUAUAUUUACUUUCAAAAAGUGCGGCGCAUGGCGCAACGGGUUCAUGCAGUAAUUUCGGCGGACUCAUUGGGGUCUAGAAGGCCGGCGCGGAAACGGUCGGCGGCGGGACCUCGGACUCUGACCAGAUUCCACUCACCCUGCCGUGUUGGGUCAGAUUUGAGGGCUGAAAUUACCAAAUUGCCCCGAAGUCGAAGUGGCAUAACCUAGGGAUUUGAUGGAUCGCCCCUGGCCGUUGGAUUGACGACUCACCAAAACACGAUUACAAUGUUGUUAAGAUCUCCUAUUCUGACUGCGUAAAGGUUCUGCAAAUAUACAGUAAAUUAUAAAUAUAUUUUUAUAAAAUUUAACUUUCAUACAUUAUUUAUAUAAAAUUCUUAAUAUUUUUAAAUAUGUUUCUGCUGUUAGAAUUUGUUAGAAAAAUUUAAUUAACCACAGAUUAAAUACUUAACCCUGGAAAGUAAAUAAGGUAACUUAUAUUUUUAUCUAUUUUAUAUUAUAUUUUAUUUUCUCAAUUAAAAUUCUAACAAAGGAAACUCAUAUUCUUCUUCCUCAUCCUUUUCCUCUCUCUUCUUUAUACUAAUUUUGAAUCCAUAACUAGAAUUUUUCUGUCUCCAUUCAUUCACAACUAGAAUUUUUUUGUUUCUUCGCUCAUAUCAAAUACUGUUUUUCUUUGCCAUUCAAUUUCUUCUAUAUUUCUUUUUUGUUCAAAAGAAAAAAAUUUAGGAGAAAAAGAGUGACAAAAAAGAUUGCAAUAAUGGUGGAAUGGAUUGGAUUUUAAAAAGGAAGAAGAUGGGGAAAAGAAGACUACUGAAAAUUUUUGGGAGAACAUUUCUGCACAAUUAUUACUGUUGUGACUAUUUGAAGGGACAUAUUGGUGGAAUGGGUUGGAUUUUAAAAGUUAAACUUUAUAGGAAUAUAUUUACGAUUCACUAUAUUUGCAGAAUUUGAAUGCAUUUAACCCUAUAUUUAUUAUCAUAAUUAUUUGGCUAUAAAAACUUUUAAGUCAUCUGAAAACAGUAUUUUUAUGUUUUAUAUUCGACACCUAAGUCGUUUGAAGUGUUCGCUAGCUUAAUUCAUGGUUGGUUUUGUAUUUUUUUUUUUUGAGAAAAAAUAACAUGCUAGCCACUUUGUUUAUUUCAUUUAGAAAUAAACUUAGCUAGAAAUAUAAAUCAACUAGGAUUCGAACUAGGGUCUUGGAUACGAACCACCAAGCCCUUUUGCCACUUACGCUAGGAACGGUCGGUGUUGGUUUUGUAAUAUUAAUUUGAAUAAAUUUUACUUUACUAUGCUUCAAAUCUAAACACUUAUAACUUAUUAGGGUAUGCAUAAAACAAUUUCCUGUUAUGGUAACAAAGAAAUCCAUUUGUCUCUAUUUAAAACGACUUAAAACAUUAAUCUAUGGGUCAUUUUUAUAUAAAAAAAUUUACUUUUUGGUUAUUCAAUUUAGCGUGGUCAGAUUAUAUAUAUAUAUAUAUACAUAUAUAAAGGAUCUGUAGAUUUAAUAUACAUGACAAAAAAUCUUGCCAAAAUUUUGGGAAGCAGCUCCCUAAUUCAACAUAGCGCCAUAUGUUUGAUUCAUUCCAUAUCGGGCAUGCUCUUUAAAUCGUUACUGAGUCCUAUACAUGUGAUUUGAAUUUAUCACAUUUGACACUUGUUACUGUAAGAGAUGUGUCUCACGCUACUUAUAUAAGACACAUGCUAUAAAAUUUUGAGAAAACUUCAAAAAACCGACGUGUGGUUUCGUAGUUUCUCACUUUGCCCCCUGUGGUUUAAAAUGUAUCAAUUUGCCCCAUGUGGUUUCUUUUUUCUCUUUUUCUUAUCAAUUUUAUUAUUAUUUUUUUAAAAUUAGUGAUAAAGUUAAAAUUAAAGGAUACUAAAGUGAAUAUUUGAUAAAUCUAGAUCGGUAUUUGAAGUUUUUUGUAUAUAAUUUAAUGAAAUAUUAACGAAAAAGCUACCAAAAAAAUAAAAACGAAACCACAGGAAGGCAAAUUGAUACACUUUAAACCACAUGGUACUAAAGUGAGAAACAAUGAAACCACAGGAGGGUUUUUGAAAUUUUCCCUAAAAUUUUUGGAUCCUCGACAAGAAAAGUUACGAACAAUCAACAAAGUGCAAUUUUGAGAUUCACAAAUAUUCAUACUUGUCAAUGUAAUACAAUUAAGCUCUAAAUGUAAUUUCCAUUCCUCAGCCCAAAAAAAUCUUACAAUAAUGUACUGCUUAAUUUUCAAAGAAGCAAUACGCAAUCAGAAAGUUCAGAUUGUAUGAUGAACUAUAAAUUAAACCAUAAUAUUACUUGACAAGAUAACAAGAAAUCAUGAUAACAGUUUUUUUUUGAGAAAGAGGUAGCCAAGCUACCUGCUUUAUGCAUUAAGCUAAAUAAACUAAGCGUACAGUAUGGAAGCAGUUAGGACCUCCGAAGCGAGCCAAACGGGAAAAACAUAAAAAAGGAGAAAACUUAAAAGAAGGUGGAGGAGUUGCCAGUGCGGUUAGUGUGGUUCAAUCCAGGAUUUUGUCAGGAGAUUGGUGCGCUCAAGUGCUCGGAUGGCGUUGGGGGUCUUCGAGUGGAAAAUAAAGUUGUUUCUUCCCGUCCACACGAUCCACCAAAUAGCCGCCAAAAAGGUUUGGGCUUUUGAUCUUUGCGCUGUGUCAGUGAUAGCAUAUAUUUUGUUCUAGAAAGCCUGAACACUGCUCAAGUACGCAAUGGGUACAUCCGUCCAGAUGAGUAAGAAGCGAGCGAAGACAUAGUUGCUGAAUAGAUGGUCGCAGCUCUCCGUAGCAAACGCACAGAAUACACAGUGAUCGUCGACCGGCAUCCCACGGAUUAGCAGUCUGUCAGCAGUGAGUAGUCUCUUACGGAUUAACAUCCAGAUGAAGACUUUGAUUUUAAUUGGAAUUUUUAAAAUCCAGAUAUGUUGGUUCUUCGUGUCCCUAAGUCUAGCGUUGUCGAUAAACCUGUAGAGGGAUUUGACCGUGAACAGAUGGUUGGGGGUCCACCGCCAUCUGAGUAGGUCCGAGCAGGUCCUGGGGCUAUAAUGAAGGAGUAGGUCUUUAAGUAGUGCAUAUUGUCUAAGGUUGUUGGUGGAUUGAUACGCCACAAAACCUCUGCAGAUGAAAUGCCAUCUCCAUCCGUUAGAGCUCCAACAUUGUGAGACUCUGACCUCCUUAUUCCUUGUAUUGGCAUAAAUGUCUAGGAACAUGGUGCGCAGGGGGGGUUUCUCCAAUCCAGAUGUCUGUCCACAUCUUGAUGUUGUUACCGUCUCCAAGGUCGUAUGAUAGUCCACAUUUGAACAUUUCUCGACACCGGAGCACACUUUUCCACUACUGGGAGUACGGAACAAAGGCUGUGCCCUCGUGCAACGGCCUACGUCUGGUGUAAUAGAGAGUUCUUAUCAUGAUAACAUUACUACAACAUGUCUAUGUAGGUUAAGCAAAUUAACAUAGAUGCAUGAUCAUUUUCGUUCAAUUAUAAAGCUUGAAGAAAAAUAGCUUUAUAAAUGCGGCAAAUAGACUAAAAACAAAUACUUUAAUACCUUGGUAAACACUGCCAAAGCAAUUUAUGCUACUGUCGCAGAAAAACUGCCAAAAUUAUGAUAAAAAACAAUGUAUCUGCUGUGACAAUUAAUAUCAGAAUUAGUUUUGGCAAUAUGAGUUCUCCUGCAUUAAUGAUCAGGAACCUUUAAAUUGAAUAGCUCUGCAUUGUAAGUUCCUUUAGAUCCUAUAUCAUGAAUGAGACAUGCUACACCUGUAAAUAAAUGAGUUGCUUCAUAAAUUCUCAGGGCUUGUUUUUUUAAUCUACUAUCUACACUGUUAUCCUUGUUUGUGUACUUCGAAGAGAACUUACAAGUUUCCCUACAGUGGCUAAUGAUAGGAUAUUGGAGUCUUAAAAAUAUGAUGAAAAGCAAAUUUUUAAGAAUUUCGUAAACUAAUAGUGCAAAUAAUAAGUAAAACCAGCGCCAUUUGAUGAAUUGAUUCUAAUCGAGUCGAACUUGGAUCGCCAAUACAAUAAGAGAAUACAGAUUUAGACCGUUGAACAACCGUCUGAUAAAGUGGCAGAAAAAAACAGAAUGCAGUAUAGUUUGCUGAUGUAUUAUAGUCUCCAUUUUUGAAUGCUAUGAUGUAUUAACUAUAGUUAGCUGAGCUACAAAACAUCAGAACAUAUCAGAAUCAUCUUAGUAUCCGAAGCUGUUGCAGAAUUAUUCAUUUAAAAAUAUCGAGCAUUCGUCACUCAAUUUCUUAGAAUUUGGUGAAUUUCUGCGAAUAUCGAUACCAGAUACAUUAAUAUUGAGUCAAAGUCUGUAAGAUUUUCCAUUUACAUCAGAAUAACUCAAAUAAAUUCUUUUAAAAUUUGAACAAAAGAAGGCAAGUAUGCAAAUAUUGGUGUUUACUUUUGGCAGAGCUAAACUAAAUUAAACCGAAGUCACAGAAUAUGCAAAGAGAAUUGAAUUUCUCAAUCUCGAACUACUCGAUAUUCAUUUACAAAUCAUCUUUUGCCUUUGAUUAAUUAGGGAAUUAGUACCCUUUGUGUACAUAUUUUUUUUAAAAAAAACAAACAAAUAUAUACUAAAAGGUAAUCACAUUGUAUAUAAUCCCUCCAAUUUCAACUUUCAAACAUUUUCAAUCGAAAUCGACGAAUUAUCCGCUACAUCAUUAGCACAAGAAGGAGGUGGCCCAAUUUCAUUAUCAACAACAGCUUCAUCUUCUAACUGCAUCAAUGGUUGAACAGGUGGAUUCAUUGUUUCAAUUGCGUUAUUACCUUCCUCUUUUAUCGAAUCCGAACUGUUCAACGCCUCUCCCUCACCGUCCACUAGUUUCCGAUAGAAACUAUCGUCCUCUACAUCAUAAAAGUUCCCGGUACGCACCUCUUGAGCUAAAGAACAAGCCCAACAAAACAUCCACUGCAUAUAAUCGGUAAGAGAAGCCGAUCCACAGCAGAAGCUGUUCCCGGGGAGCUUGAACUUCUUCCUCAUUUGAAUCCUCCAAAAUCCGCCGUAGAGCAAACCAAAGAUACAUAAAACUAUCCCCGCGGCGCCCACUAUAUCGCCGAUAACGUAGUUGUGGAUGUUGAGAGCGGAGAUGUUGAAAAUCCAAAACGGAGCAACACAUAGUAAGAGAAAAGUGAACAUAUGAACAUACAUGUUACCGAAGCCGAGCCUCUCCAUGUUCCACCCGAAUACGCAGAAGGUGCAAAAGAACGAGAGGUAGCCAACGGUUGCAUCAUCACCGCAAUCGAAAAGCCCCCCGACCCACUCCGGUUUGCUCACCACAACCCUUCUUUCGAACAACUUGAACUUCUUCGACGGCCUAGAAUGAUCAGAAUCAGAAUCAGAAGCUUUUCCUUGUGAUUCCUCAUCUGAGUCAGAACUAUAUUCUCUUCCUAGAGGACCGUAAACCGCAUACACUCCCGCAAAGACGGGGGCGGCGGUGCCCAAAACAAAAAAGAGAUCCUCGGCGAAUUCGGGUCGGUUCGAGCUAUUGAAUCCCCAGUACAGACCACACAAUGCAUACUGGCACAGGCAAGUUGUAUGAAGGAGGAGAAUAACAACUAUCAUAUGAGCCCACUCGCGUGGGCGAUAAGCUCCGUUUUUGCAGUACACUUUCCUAAGUUGUACGACGUCCUCCGACCGCCACCGACACGCUAGAAACAAGUGGUGGAAGAGAGUAGGGUGUUGGUAUAUGCUCAUGAGGGUGAACAAGGCAUUCAGUAUUUGGGUGUUGAUCUCAAUCCAGUGGUUUCGCGACGAUUUCGUCGGGAAGGCCUUGUUCAGCAAUCCUAGGUAGAGCAGAACCAACAUGGUCCCGGAGGCGGCGACGCAGAGGAACCAAACAAGGAGAGCAGUGUUCAUCGGAUGCGACAACCAAGCCUUGCAGAAGCUGAAGAGAGAAGCCCAGUUGAUCUUCCUGAUGAAGUGAAUAUGGAAGUGUCGACGAAUGCCGACCGGAGAAGGGACCGAGAUCGAGAUUUCCUCUCUGCGGUCGACCGUUCGACGGAAAAUUCUCAGCGGUGACCGGAAUUUGAGCCUCUUGAACCAAUCCAUGGAAGGGCUGGCUUUCAGGAAAUCCAAAAGCCUUCUUUCGCGGGCGCUUUCGCCGAUCAGCCUUUCCUGGAGAGUCGGAAUUCUGACGCGGUAUUCCCUCAGCUUCGGCGUGCUCGGAAUCGUCAGAAGAUCUGAUUCUUUGCAGAUAUCGUCUUCGCUUUCAUCAUUAGCAGCAACUACCAUUAUCCUCAGCAAAUCAGUCUUUUCGCAGGAGUAAAAUGAUUUCUGCAUGAAAACAGAAUCAAACUAAAGCACUCAGGUUGUGAAUUGGACUUCCCACAUAUGUAACACAAAAUUUUGAGUCCUCAAUCCCCUUGAUAAUAACUUUAAAGAGAACAAUUAUAAGAACUAUGCUCUAAUCUUGUUCUAUUGAUUUUGAUUAAAGUAAUCUUCAAUCCAUCUUAACACUGCAUCUUCUACCUUACUAGCCACUAUUAAUUGAAUCUUCAACAUCCAAAAUAAAUCAAUAAAAAAGGGAAUUUAAUUACUACUAUUGUGAGGGAGCUUACCUCUAGGAUGAGAACGUAGGAAAAGAAGCCAAUAAAAAGUGUCUUAAGUCCUGUAACUCCUCUUCCCCCCUUUUCUCAGCAAUUUUAUUAGGAGAGGAAACUUAUAUGAAGAGCACAUAUAAUUCCUACUUGAUGCCUAUUUAAUUUGGUAUUUACAAAUAAGGACAAGAGAAUUAUUAAUGGAUGCUGGUUUGUGGUCGUGUACUUAGCAUUUCUCACAAUAAAUUAGAAAAGGAAAUGUAACCACUUCUAUAAGACUAAUAACUAAAGCAGAAGGGAGAAAGGAGAAAUUAUACCUGCACCGGGUGUAUAAAUUCAUCCCAUAUACCACACACACUUAAAAACUCUCUAUGGUAGAGGUCUCAACAUCAGAAUCUAAUUAUAUAUAUAUAUAUUUACAGAAAACCUCCCUGUAAUAACUCGCUUUUUCACUUUCCCUCCCUGACAUUUAAAAACCUACAUUUUGCCCCCAUGUAAAAUGAAAAAUGUUCACAGAAGGGUUACGGUGUGUAAAAUGAUCAUUUUGCCCCUCGGCAUUGUCGUCUUCUUCCCUAUCUUCCUCAGCCGCCCCUUCGUUCGGCCGCGAUUCUCACCUCAAUCGGCCGCGAUUUCUCUCCAUUUUCUUCUCCACCUACUCCCCUUCUCCUCCUGCACCCUCGCCGCCCUCGAUUUCGGCGACAGUAGGAGAAAACCGAGGUGGGUGACAGUAGGAGAAGGGCAAAGAAGGCGAAGGCGAAGGCGAGGCGGCGGAGGACGGCGAAGGGGAUGUGGGUGAGGGCGAGGCAGUGGAGGACGGCGCAGCGGCUAGGCGGCGAGGCGGCGAGGCGGCGGCGAGGUGGCGAGCCGAAGGGAGUCGAAGCAAUAGGGAGAUGGCAAAGGGUAUUUUCGGCAUAAAAAUAUAUUUUUUAACGGAACCCUGACGGAACCCUAACGGUAGGGGGUGAAGUGCACAUUUUUUAUUUUACAGAGGGGCAAAGUGUAGGUUUUUAAAUGUCAGGGAGGGAAAGUGAAAAAACGGAUUAUUACAGAGGAAUUUUCUAUAAUUUAGCCUAUAUAUAUUCCGGUUAUGAUGCUAUUGAUAGCACCAAGCAUGCUACCGAGUUUUCCACCUUUAUAUUUAAUCCUUGCCUUAUAAUUUAGCCUAUAUAUAUAUAUAUAUAUGUCAUUGAUUUCUCACGAGUAAACAAACGGCUCUUUUUAAGACUACUUGAUGUCUAUUUACAGAUUUUCAAAAUACAUGAUUUUCGUACAUGAGAUCUUAGAAGAUCCUUAGAAAUGUUACACUUUUGGUCUUCAAAUUAUAAGGCGCAUGACACUUUGAUUAUGAAACUAUAAUUUGUUGUGAUUUUUGACUUGAAAAUUUUAAAUUAUUAUAAUCAAGUCCUACAAUCUACUUUAGCUAACUAAAUAUUAAUGUUUUACUAAUAUGACGGUUUUUGUGAUUAAUGACACGAUAAUAAAUUAAGGCGACACGUCUCUUCUACAUCAACGAUAUGUCAACUAAAUUGGAUCGUGGGACUUAAUUAUAAUACUUCAGAGGGCUUGAGCUAUAAAUUAUAAUAAAUGAAAAGGUGUCACCCACCAUAUAAUUUGAGGACCAAAAUUAUAAUUUAGAGUAUACUUAAUUAUACGCCCGGUGCAUGCAAUAAUUUGCGGUGUGAAUAGGGGAAAAUUGGUCACGGUCAGCUCAGCGGCCGUUCAAACUACGCACAUUGUGGAAGUCAAACAGCGCCUUAUAAUUACGAAAUUGCCAUCGGUAUGGAGACGGUCAAGAUUGGUCGUCCAUCCAAUUAAUUUGUAGACCGCCGUAGUAGAACAAGUCCCAAGCGUAUAUUUGCAUGUACGAGACGUAUAAGCGUAUAACUUCAGGUAAAGUUUCUUAGAAUAGCAAAUAAUAAUAAUAAAGUUUCUUCUAGGGGUUGAUGGUUUAUGAUUUCACGUUAUCCUUUUAAUUUAUUUUAGUUUUGUUCUUUUUUUUCUUUCUUUCUUUUUCUUUUUUCUAAGGCCCCGGCUGUCUCACCUUGUAGCCAAGUUCAUACUCUAAAUGAAUAAAACGAUAACAUGCUACCUUUUCUCAAAAAAAAAUAAAAAUAAAAUAAAUGCACCACUUUUGAGAACUAAGCUUUUUUGGCUAUUGGAUUAAACAACGUGCAAUUAAGAUGAUAGUGAUUCCUUAGUUUUUUUUUUUUUUUUUUUUUUUUUUUGAGAGAUAGAUAACAUGCUACUCGCUUCGUUUAUUUCAUUUAGAAAUAAACUUAGCUAGAAAUGUGAAUCAACUAGGAUUCGAACUUGGGACCUCGGGUACUAACCAUCAAGUCCUUUGCCACUUGCGCUAGGAACAGUGGGUGAUUCCUUAGUAUUAAAUGAGUGGUUGGUUGAAUAGUAUGAUCUAACGAGUAAAAAUCUUCAAAAAAAUAGAUUUUAACGACGAAAAACUUAAUACCACCAAGUGCUUGGUGCUAUUAAUAGGAUAGUAGUCGGAGCUUCCACCGGGGGUGAACACUACUCGAUUUAAACUGAAUUAUUGAAGCGAGCUUACUCAGUUCUAAUUUGAUUUGAUUUGAUUUUAUAUAUUUUAACACGUGUUAUCCUUUAAAUAAAAUAUUUUAAUAUAUACUAUUAUUGUUAUAUAUAAAAGGGUUUUUGCUUAUUUAUUUUUGUCUACUAUUUAAAAUUUCAAAUAUAUUCUAAAAUUAUUAAAAUACCCUUCUAAACUUUAAUUUUUAUUAGUAAAUUCUAGGAAUUUUGAGAUAUUUGAGGGGAUUUUUUGAAAAUCAUAUUUCGGUUAAUUAGGGAUUUGUUAGAUAUUUUUUAAAAGUUUUAGAGGGUAUAUUAGAAAAUAUAUUUUCAAGUAAUUUAAUAAAAAAUCUCAAAAAAAAGAAAACUUCAAAUAUCACCAUGUGGUUUCGCACUUUCUUACUUUAGUACCCUAUGGUUUAAAACGUGUUACUUUAGUAUCUAGUGAUUUCAUUUUUCUCUUUUCGUUAUUCCCUAUAUUAUUUUUUUUGUUAAAUCAUUGACAACGUUAAAACCACAUGAUACUAAAGUAAAAAUUUGGUAAAUCACAGAAUAUUAAAGUGAAUAUUGGGUAAACCAUAAGUGGGAUAUCUAAAGUUUUUUGUGUAUAAUUUCACAAAAAGUUAAAAGGAGGUGCUGAUGGAAAGAAAAAAAAAAAAACUACCCGAUACUAAAAUAACACACUUUAAAUUACAUAGAAUUAAAAUAAGAAAGUGCGAAAUUACACGAUGGUAUUUGAAGUUUAUCUAAAAAAAAUUAAUAUUUUUUUUGCAAGGCAGAUGUUUUUAAACUAGAGUUUCUAUUUUUAAUAGCGUGUUGACUUUUCAGCCUUGUAUUUAAACAUAUUUCUCUUUCCUUUCGCCCUUUUUUGACCUACUGGCCUUUUUUGUUUGGAAAAUUCAACACCAGCUUGACAUGGAAAACGUAAAUAGUUCACACUAUGGAAAGCUAAGUUGUUUUAUCAAAUUUGGACUUGUGUCCACAAACCGUUACUCACCUUGCUAAGAAAAGAAACCUGCUUGUGGUUUUAUUUAUGCAAUUAGGUAUUUUAAGAUCCUGCAGUAUCUCUAGCACUAAUUUAAAAGUUUUAAUUUAGUCACAAACUUUAGUUUCUACAAUUAGGACCCUUCUCUUCUAAGAAACUCUUAAGAUCACGAAAGAAACAACAAAAUAAUAACAAUGAUGAUAUGAUAUAAUGGACGUAGGAAUUGAACUCAGAAACUCUUGAAAAGAAGAGGUUUUAUACCGUGCUAAAAGGCUCGGAUCCAACGACAAAAUAUAAGUUGCCAGAGAACAGUGUUUGAUAUUAUAUAUACUCAACAGAUGAAUUAGAAAUCCACAUCAAUAAUCAAAGUCGAAAUAAACACAAUUCUGAGACUUUUCCAUUCAAGCUGCAUUGCUUGCUUAUUCGAAUCUUUUCGACGAAGGAAUAAGAAAGAAAAGUUUUAUUAAAAACAGAAGACACAAACCGUUCCUUACCAUUUUGCAUUGUCAUUGCUUUUCAUUUUCUCGAACCACCGGAAUCGAUUUCGAGCAUUCGAUUACCGAAGACUUAAUUUUUUUACAUAUCUAUGCAUUGUUUAGUAUGAAACUUCUGCAGAUUUUUGUAUUAACCAAAUAAAACAGCUUCUCUAGAGCAAGUGAUGUGAAUGAAGAGACAAUAUAAAUUAUUCAGAAAAAAAAAGGUGAAAAUUUCAGAGUAUAGAAAUGGACUAAAUACACAGAAUGCCGUAUAUGUUCUUUAUACACUCAAAAUGGAAAAUAUGUACUGUAGGAAGAUUUAACAAGUACGCAAGUUCGGAUCGAAAUAAACUCACUGUUCUUCUCUCUGUAUAACAGAAGGAAUAGGAGGUUUCAUCAUCUCUUCUUUGCCCUUCGUAGGCAAAUGCUCUUCUGGAGUAUGCCCACCGGAAAAUCUACUAGGAGUCGACUGGAUCUCGAUCUUAAAAAUGGACGGACUCGAAUUACCCCUGUAGGGUGAACUGGGGUUGGACCUGAAAAGAGGCGACCCAUCUUCGCGAGGCAAAGGAGACAUAGUAAGUUGAGUUCCAUCGUUUAAAUCUUUCACAAAAAGCUUAUCUUCGACAAUCUCGUAGUAAUCCGCCGUCCUCACUUCCUGAGCAAGAGAACACCAACAACAAAAAAGCCACUGAAAACAGUCGGUAACCGAGGGACGUCCACAGCAAAAGUUAUUACUGGGAAGUUUAAAUCUUUUCCUCAUUUGAAUUCUCCAAAAGCCUCCAUAAAGUAAACCGAAGAAACAGAGGACAGCACCGGAAAGCCCUAAUGCCUCUCGAACGGCUUCGUUGUUUAUGUUAACUGCUGCUAAGUUGAAGAUAAAGAAGGGGGCCGAGCAAAAGAGGAGGAAAGUUGCAAUGUGAACGUACAUAUUGCCGAAUCCAAGCCUCUGCAUAUUCCAACCAAAUACACAGCAGCUGCAGAAGAUCGAGAGGUAGGCCAGAGAUAUAUCGUCCCAAAAAUCGAAAAGGCCUCCCACCCACUCUGGCCUACUCUCAGUAGCCCCGCGUUCUUCGCUUGCAAUGAAAGAAUACUUCUUUGCGAGCGAUUUUGCUCUAAGAGCUCCUGGUUUGCUAUCGACAGUGGAAAUAAUCUCACUUUGUGCCUCUUGAUCCAUUUCGGUUUCGUAAUCCCUCCCCAGGGGGCUAAGAAUAUUGUACACACUGGCAAAAGCUGGGGCUGCAAUCGCGACAGAGAUGCAGAGACCGACGCCGAUUGCAGGGCGUCUAGACCUUGGAUACCCUAAAUUUAGACCGCACAAUGCAUACUGAGCAAAGCAAUUCAAAUGGAGAAGAAGCACCACGACCAUCAUAUGCAUCCAUUCGUGAGGCUUGUAAGUGCCGUUUUUACAAUAUACUUUUCUAAGCUUCAGGAUGUCUUUGGGUUCCCACCUACACAAGAGCACUAGGUGGUAGAACCGUUUCGGGUGUUGAUAGAGGCACAUUAAAGUGAAUAAAGCAUUCAGGAUUUGGUUGUUGACUUCAAACCAGCUGUCUCUUUGGGAUUUUUCGGGUAAAGCAUGAUUUAGCAUGCCAGUCAUGACGAGGAAAAGGAUAGCGCCAGAAAUGGCUACACAAGCAAUCCAAACGAAAAGAGCCAAGUUCAUAGGGUCUUUAAUCCAUUCCUUGGAUAGUUGCCACAGAUGAGCCCAAUUGAUUUUCCUGAUGAAGAGUAUGUGAAAAUGAUGCGGGUCAGAAUGAACCGAGCGCGAGAUCUCGUCUCGUUCCAAUGCGAUUUGGCGGAACUUGAUUGAGGGAGAAGCACCAAACUUCCUUAACCUGGCUCCACUUGGCAGUGCCUUGAAAAUAUUCAUAAAAUUGUUCCGCUGAUUACUUUCACUCAAGAGUUCCUUUUUAGAUGAUGAUUGAAUGUAAAGAGAGAUUUCAUCUUUGGUGCUGUAAGAAUUGUCUGAUAUCAAACCUGGUUCCUGAAUUUCAUCUGUGAAUUUUUCAUUAUUAACAACAGAAACCAUCCUCUUAAGCAGGCGAUCUAAGCUUUAUACUGCAAUGGAGUUCACGGCUUCACGCUCAAAACCAUUGUUCUCAGGAUUGAUAAUUUCCCAGUUAAACAGCUUGAGGGCAUCCUAUAUCAGAUGAUGCCCUGGAAAUGAACAUGAAAUAUGAUGAGCGUGUAAGAGCAGAAUAGUACUUUGCGGAUAUCCCUCAUAUUUAAUCCAAACCGAACAGAAGUUCAGUAGUCGAACAAACAGAUUUUCUGAUAGUAACUUUAUUUUCAAACUAAUAGUUCCCAAUAUCAAGUACAAAUUAAUAUGGGAUCAAAAAAAUAACACCAGAAAAAGCAAAAAACAUAAGCGCAUCCUAAUUCCAAAAGUUCAUAACUACAUAAGAAUACCGAAUUGCAACUUUGCUAAGCAAUGCUCGACUAAGGAGGUAAAACCAUAUCAGUUACAUUCAUCACAAAAAAAAAAAAGAAAAAAAAAAAACCUACAUAAAAGUGACUUUUUGUGAUUUUUGACAGCCUAAAGCAUAUAUGUGGGAAAUUUUCUUGAGGAGACCAACACAAACUGAACUGUGAAUAUUUUACAGAGCUAAAAUAAAGGUGAAACAGAUACAUUUUAGGUGGCUUUGCUAACAUGAUAUUCAACAAAUACAAAUAAGCAGAUGUAUAGUGACAAGCUAACAAUAGUAGCCAUAUAAGUAGAUAAUGCACCAGUAUUUCAAUUUCUAAGUUUUACCUACAAUAUUCUUAUCUAAGUUUUACUAGUAUUUUACUAGUAUUAUUAUCUUUAAGAGUAAGAAUAUUUCCUUCUAUUGUUAACUGAUCUCUCAUUACUUUCACUUACAUAUCAACAAAAGUUAGUAAAUUGUUUUUGUUGGGUGAUUAGAAGCAGCAAAUACACACGACCGUAAAGAUAAUAAAUACACACGGCCGUAGAAAAAUGCAAAGAAAUGCACCAAGAAUGAAGAGAGUUCAAAUCUCAAAUCAAUUAUCUUAAACUAAUGAAGGCAAAACACUAAAGAAAAAAAUUAAAAAAAAAAAAAACAAAGGAAGGAAAAAAGAGACAUGUAAGGUACCGAUGUUACUGGCUAUAUUACUGGUAGAAAACCAUGAAUAGUACACGAAUGAAUGCAAAACCAGACCAUCGAGCUCGAAUUAACAGUAAUAGCAUAAGCCUGAUGAGGAAGCAUAAAGAGACAUUCGAGGAACAAUCAACCCAGAGUGUAGAUAAAUAAAAGUUAUCAACCCAAAUGUGUACUAUCUCCUAGCAUUGGUGCAUUAGAUGGUUUCCUUGGAAAACCAUUGCAAGAAAAGUAAAUUCUUAGGAAUAAUAUAACUAUGAAACCAUGGUGAUCUUACUAGGAGUUGUGUGCCUAAUGCAAAAGAAGAAAAGAGUGCCUUAUCUAACAACAUAUAGCAGCGUUAAAACGAUAUCAGAAUUGAGCGGCAAUGCACUCAAUCCACAACAUGAGCUAGUUUUACUGUAAUGAUUCAGUCCACUAACACUAAUAACUAGUCGGAUCCUAAACCACAAGCCCAAAAUGCUAGAGCGCAACUAGCUAUUAUUAGAGCCCUUGGUUUUUAUAUUCUUAUAUGCAAUUCCUUUCUCAUCUAAUGUGAGACUGUUGGAUCGCCGCGUCACGUUUACACUUAAGAAUGAGGUGAACAUCGAGAACUCCUCUACCGCCUAACGCCGCAAACCUCCCUGUUCUCAUACUUUCGCCAUCUAUUUCUACAAACUGCGCCUAGUGACUACCUCAACUCUCAUGAUUUUUUUUUUUUUUUUUUUUGGUGAAAGCUUGCUUGCGUAAUUACUGGAGGCAUCUGCCACUCCUCUCUUCUAUGAUCUAAAAAAAUUUAUUACCGACACACAGAUUAGGGCAAGAGAAACGCGAAAACAAGAUAAAUUAGAUAAAUUCAACCCCUCAAAUCACUCCUCAGAUCAAACUGGGCAACAAAGUAACAAAUUAAACUAAAAUUUUAAAAAAUGCAACAACAAAAGGAAAGCAAAAAUUACCUAAAUCAAGUAACCAACACUAACAAAUACAUCCACACAAUUAAAUUCAACUACAGAACCAUUUCACUACCAAAAAAAAAAGAAAAAUAUAUAUAGUGUUAGAUUAAAAAGGAGGGGAAAAAGAAUUAGAAAACGCACCAAUGAUUUCCAGAUCCGAUAAGAAACGUCUGGGGAUUAAGCAAAGGAAGAGGAUUAGGGUUUUUUUUUUUUUUGCUAUUUUUUUAUUUUUAUUCUUACUUCCACAACAAGGUGGGAGCUUUACAACGCGGAUGUGAACGGAGAAGGGAGACUCUCCGCUUUAAAAGUCGCGAAAAAUUAGGAAAUAAUAAUUUGGAGGAGUUGGUGUGUAGUGAUGGGUAGCGUUUAUUCUCUUCCUCUAAUCUCUAUAUGGGAGAAGGAAAAGAUUUUUAGGAAAAUAAAUAAAAAAAGGAAAAAAAAAGAAUAAAAAAAUAGUUUUGAGGUGAUUUGGAGAUUUUUUUUUUUUUUUUUUUCACAAUAACCCUAUAAACAUGCUUGAAAUUAGUAUUAAAUGCGAAGGGUAAAAAUAAUUCUACAAUGGAUGAUUCCUCGGCUGCAAGAUGUCACAAAUUACACUAAAAUAAAUUUGAUCGGCUUCUAAUACAUUUUGCUCUCCAAAAUUAAAUUUUUGACUAAACUUGCAAAUAAUAGAAACUUCGGACUGUAGCUGCAAAAUUCAAAAUAUUGAAGAUUUUGUUGAAAUAAAAACAAUAAAAAAAUUGGUUCACCAUUUAUUUUCCUUUGCCAUUAGUCCAUAAUGCAUCACCCUCAUUCCAUGUGUCACAUUAAGGAUUGUUCUUAUCAUUGACCGUUUCUAGAGCAAGUGAUAAAGGGCCCGAUGGUUGGUACCUGAGAUCCCAAAUUCGAACCCUAGUUGAUUCAUAUUUUCAGUUAAGUUUAUUUUUAAAUAAAAUAAAUGAAGCAUGUAGCGUUAUCUAUCUUUAAAAAAAAAAAAGAUUGUUCUUGUGCCCUUUUAAAAUUUUCUAUAUUUUCAUCUCCUUAAUUUUCUUACGACUUUUUAUUUAUUUAUUUAUUUACACAUAAUCUUUUUGAUACGAAGAAUUUGUAAUGUAAAGAUACUAAAAUUUUUAGAGAACAAAUUUAAUUUUCUCUCGUUAUGUUUGCGCCAAACUAGCAUUUUGUAACAGUUUGCCUGCUGUAAUAAAUAAUCUGUCGCUCCUUAGUUUCUAGUUCAAUGUGAUUUUUUUUUUUCCAUCCUUCCUCUAAUUUCUUAAUUCAUAACCGAAUUAACUUAUAUUUUAUUUCAUAUUGAUAUGUAACUUUGAUUCUUGGGUUCUACAACUUUUUAUUUUUAUUUUUCAGAAUGUUGUGAAGGAUUGGUAGAAAAAAUGGAAUCAUCUGAAGCUACAAAUGGAUGAAUUAAUGUAUAUUUUUUAAGCUCAGAUCUGUAAUUUUCUUGCUACAGUUUUAAAGAUACUUUAUGUCACACAAUCUUUACACAAAAGUUGAUUAUUCCCCCAACCAAUGAAUUGAUGAUCUUGGUUAUCAUGAGUAUCUACCUAAUGAUGGGAUCAACUUAAGUUAGAUUAUGGAAAUCUAGUCACACCCAAAUGUAUUAUCAUUUUCCUAAUAUUAGCAUAUGAUAUUGGCAGAUCAAAUUUUAAUGGUGAUAGCUAACUUUGUCAUUUUGUUCCUCAAAAGACGAUUAAGUCGUGAGUAUCGGUCACGGCCUUACGGCCAGCGUCGUCAAUAUCACGUAAAUUUGCUCUCAUCCUAUCAAAAUUGAAACUUUGAAUAUUAUGGGCCAUUUAAAUAGAAUACUCACCGAUAAACUUGGAUAUAAUUAUAGGCUGAUUAAGUUCUCGACUUGCACAUAGAAUUGCUAAAAAGUAAAAUGGUAUUAGAAGUGUAAAAUCAUGUACAAAUUAAUAAUUGAAGUUGGGUGAUUUGGCAUACCAGAGGCAUGUAAAAGAAGAGAAAAUACAAAAGAGAGGGAAAUUGCAAGAAUGUUCAUGUUGUAAUUAAAGAUACAUUAAUUCUAAAAGUGACAUAUGUCAAUUCUCCAUGGGUCCAUUGUGGUAACACAAUGUCUCUUAUUUGCUCAAUUAUUGAUUAUCAAUACACCCCUUCACUUAUAUGAACAAAUUAAUUAUAUGUUCCCCUGUUGAUAAAUUAUCAAAACACCCCUUCCAUUGUGGCACCCCACUAUGUACCUCUUAUUUGCUCAAAUAUCUAUGGAUUUUUUCAAAAAAUGGCCCCUAUUGAUAGCCAAGAGAAAUAAUAUUAAAUAACUAUUUAUCUUCAAAAAUUUCAGUUGCUAGAGAAAUAUAUAUGUUUAGAUUUAAGAUAAUUUGAUAAACUCAAGAUAUGAGCUUUGAUUAAAUCGAACUAAAAGUCUGAUCUGACAGGACUAGAACUCAUGACCUUAUGCUUCAAGACUAUAUGAAUUAGUCAUUUAUCUAUAAUAACUUAAGAUGUAAGAAAAUAUAUAAUAUUUUAAGAUUAUAUACUCAAAUCUGUCAUAUUAGAUAUGUUGGUAUGUACCUUUUUGACUAUGUAUAGCCAUCUAAAACAGGAAAUAGAAGAAGGUCAAAGCACUGAGAGGGAACAAAUUAAGUGGGAACUACUGCUAUAAAUAAACAAGGAAUGGCCCAUAUGAAUCAAGUGUUGAAGCUGUUUUUAUGUUCUUUGAGACUCAGAGAGAGAGAGAGAGAGAGAGAGAGAGAGAGAGAGAGAGAGAGAGGUGAGUUGUGCAAGAUGGAGAAGCAGGGCACGUGCAUUACCAGCUAUCUAACAACAUUCCUUCCACCUCAGAAGUUUUAGAUAGCUAGUUAUUCAUGUGCCCAUCUUCUCCACCAAGCACACCUCACCUACACAUAUUUUGAGGUAAGUUUUUAUCAUGCUUCUGACCUUAUAAAUCUUUUAUUUAGUCCAUGGGACAUAAUAUAUUGAGAGAGUUGAUCAUAGAAGAGCACAAACAAUGUUCUAAAUAUGUUUAAAGUACUCCCCUAAUCACUCCCUCCAUUGCUCUUAAUUUACUGUCCUUGAGUUUUGAGAACAAGGAAUGUAUGGGAGUGUUGAAGCAAAUAAAAACCAACCAUAUUAUUCUUCAAUCCAACUCUAUUGUUUACUUUGCUAGCUUUUGUUUUAAUUUGAAUACCAAGUCCAAACACUAUCAUGUUCAAAUCACACUUUAGUUUUUAUCUAUAAUGCUGAGUUACUUUUUCAUGCUCAUAUUGCUCUUGAUUUGGAUAUUUUUGAGAUAAGUAGCCAUUUACUCUUUUCGAUAUUCUUUUUGUAAUCAGUGUCAAUAACUUUUAAGAUAAAAAUGAAGUAGAGGACAUAUUUAGGUACAUUACUUCUGUAAAGCAUUUUACAAUUCUCUUUGGUUUUUUUUCCAUCAUGCUGAACUAUUAGAAUCAAUUGAAAAACAAAAUACUUGCACCAAUAAAUUAACUCCAUAUUCUUAUCCUUACCAUAAGAAAGGUAAUGCAAAGAAAAGUGCCCUCAAAAGAAUGGUUGUGGGCUUGAGAACAACUUAUACAGUAAAAAGAACUUUUUAAAAGAAACAAAAAGAAUAUUUGACCUGGUGAUUGUUUACCAAGACAAUAUUUUUCUUCCAGUAUAGUUAAGCUCCCAUAAAUUAUUUAAACCAUUCAAAGGAGUAAAAUAUAAAUAUGAAUCCAUGCACUAAAGAAAAGAGAGGUUGGAUGUAUGAGCUAUCAUUCAGUUCAUCCCCUGCUAUUAAUAUUGAUUUUACUGAGUUUGCUCUACAAAUACUGUAGUUUUUUGUUUAUGUUUUUUUUCAGAAAAAAAAACACCACCACACCUUCAAAACCCUCUGCAAAGGAUUAAUCAUAUAAACACUCCAAUUCUGUGGCUAGGAUUUAUUUGAUCAAGAAGUUUUACAAUAUUUAAUGACAUGAGAGGUUCAAGCACUUUACACACACUCGCUUUCACAUCAUGCUCUGAUGUAUAUAAUGUUAGUAACAUGAAACUCUAAUUGAUCUUCAAAAGCUUAAGUUAUCAAAGUAUGGUACUUUUUAUAUUUAUAUUCAACAAAUUCAGGUGAUGAUAAAAAUCUUUGGGGGCCCGCGUGUAUACGUUUGUUUAUAUGCGGAAAAUAUAUUCUUUCGUGCAAAUGUUUCAUUCACGAAUUAUAAAGUACUAGCAUCUUCUAUAAAAGUACAUGUGCAGUAAAUAUAUUCUUUCGAACAAAUAUUUCAUUUACGAAUUAUAAAAUAUUAGCAUCUUCUGUAAAAGUGCAUGGACAAAUUUUUUUUUUUUUUUUUUCACAUCCUUUCAAGCCAAAUUAUUAUAUACCAGUCAUAGAGAACUUUUUUACCUUUUUUUGAUUUACUUAGACAUAGUUUAAAUUUGGAGAAAGUAAGAGGGAAAAGUUUGCAUCAAGCUUGUGUAGUACUACAAAGAGAAUGUCAACUAGCAUCCACUCCAAAACCUUGUUGACAAUCUUGUUACUAAAAAAAAAAAAAAGAAGCUAAAAGGCUUCUCUUUAUCUAAGUUAAAAGCUUGAGAAAACUAAAGUGAGCUUUAAUGCCUAGCGCGGGUUUGCGUCGAGGACAGCAAUUAACGAGAUUUCAUUGAGACAAUUUGGUGAGCCGUCUGGUUCACCUCGUACUCGAAUAUUAUAUCGGCUUAAAUAGGCUAGCAUCCUGCCCUGUGGUGGGAGGCUAUGUUGGGUCGAGUCAUAUUCGAAAUGGCGUGAGGCUAGAUGAGUCGAGUCACAAUCGAGAUCCGUGGGCGCUGUAUCUGUACGCUUUAAGUGAAUUGAUUGCGUAUUUCUAGCAGCUCGAGCUUUUGAGAUUAAUGGUUAACGCCAACGAUCCGACAUGUUAGAGUUUCGUUGAGCUUUAAUGCCCAACACGGCUUUGCACCGAGGACAGCAUUAACGGGAUCUCAUUGAGACAGUUUGGUGAGCCGUCUGUCUCACCCUGUACUUGAAUGUUAAUAUAAAAGACCGUAUUGGACGGCAGAUUCGAGGAAGAAUGAAGUGAUCCUCACUUGAAUUUGUCUUUUUUGCAUGCCUCUCUUGAUUAAGUUAAGAUCAUGUAAAAUUGCAAAGCAACAAUAUUCCUCUCCUAUGAUUUUUCCCUUUCUCCAAUCCAUCAUCUCUUUCCAUGCAAAGUCUCACUGUUUCUCUAAUAAGCUCAUUCAUCUCCCACUUAUUAUUCCCCACCUCCCUCUCUCCUUCUCUGCAAUACCCAACCAUGCUCAAAUUGUUAAGCUUGGCCACUCCAAUGACAUGUUCUCCCAGAACAACCUCCUUACCAUGUACUCAAAAUCCCACCUUUUGUGUCGUGCACGACAAGUGUUCGACGAAAUGACCGACAGAAAUGUCGUCUCUUGGACUUGUAUGAUCACUGGGUCGAUUCAGAACGGCGAAUGCGAAAUGGGUUUUCGGUUGUUUCGACAGAUGUUGAGGGUUGGGUUUUAUCCAAAUGAGUUCGCUCUUGCUAGCGUUGUAAGUGCGUGCGAAUCCUAUGAGGAAAUAAAGCUUGGUGUUUCGCUUCAUUCGAUUGCAUUAAAGCUUGGAAUAGACCGGAAUCCGUAUGUGGGUAGCUCGGUCUUAUUGAUGUAUGCGAAGAACAGGGAUACUGAAGUGGCAGAGAUUGCAUUUGAGUGCAUAUUUUAUCGAGACCUAGCUUGUUGGAAUUCAAUGGUGGAGAGCUACGUAUUGAAUGGCUACGGAUACAAUGCGAUGCGAACAGUAUGUUCUAUGCACCGAAAAGGACUGGUUUUUGACCAGUUUACUUUUUUAAGUGCUAUUAAGGGAUGUUUGAUUAGCAAAGACUUAAAUUAUGCACGACAAAUACACUGUUUGAUCAUCCAGAAUAGGUUCGAGUCGUAUAUUGCGGUGAUGAACUCUCUCACCGAUUUGUAUUUCACAUUAGGCGUGAAGGACGUUGCUUUGAAGGUGUUCGAUAAUAUACUAGAGAAGGAUGUUGUUUCAUGGAAUACGCUAAUAUCUGCGGCUGCCCAAGAGGAGGAUGAGAUAGAAGCCAUGGGUUUCUUCUCUAGUAUGUUAUCAACUGGUUUGAAGCCUAACCACGUUACUUUCUCUGUUAUAUUAAGAAUGUGUGCUGUUAAGGAGCAAAUUUCACUUGGUCUACAGUUCUUUUGUUUAGCUUGUCGUAGUGGAUAUUCUGAUAAUGUUCUUGUUGCUAACUCGGUUGUAGAUUUUUUAUCUAAAUGUGGUUUCGUGAAUACCGCAUAUCAUUUUUUCCGAAGCAUCCCGGCUAGAAAUCUUGUUACAUGGAAUGAAAUGAUAUCUGGGUAUGGCUUAAAUGGCUACAGCAAAGAGGCAUUUCAGCUUUUUCGCAAUUUACUUAGGUCAAAUAUAAGAGGAGACGAAUUUACAUAUUCUGGUGUAUUAGGUGCUUGUAAAGAAACGCAAGAUUCAAGGACAUGCGAGCAGAUACAUGGUAACAUCAUUAAAUCCGGUUUUGCUUCAUAUCAGUAUGUAUGCACAUCACUGGUGAAAGCUUAUAGUAUGAUUGGAUCGGUUGGAAACUCAUUUAGGGUUUUUGAAGAAGUCGGUGAAUUAGAUUUGGUGUCUUGGGGAGUGAUUAUCUCUGCAUUCGUGAAACGAGGCCUUUUCGGAGAAGCCCUUUCACUUGUGAACUGCUUGAGAGAAGAAGGGCAACAGCCCGAUGAGUUCAUACUGGCUAAUAUUCUAAACGCAUGUUGUAACGCCGCUUUGAUUAUCCAGUGCAGGUGUAUCCAUUCUCAUGUAGUUAAGACAGGUCAUGAGAAGCACUUUUGUGUAGCAAGUGCUGUUAUAGAUGCCUAUGCUAAAUGUGGAGAUAUUAUUAGCUCCAAGAUGGCUUUCGACAACUCUUCGGUAGAAAAUGAUGCUAUCCUCUACAAUACUAUGAUCACAGCUUAUGCACAUCAUGGGCUGAUAAAAAAAGCUCUUGAACUCUACGAGCAAAUGAGACUAGCUAAUGUAGAACCUACUCAAGCCACAUUUGUCGCGGUCAUUUCAGCUUGUAAUCAUCUGGGACUAGUGGAGCAAGGCAAAUACAUUUUCAACUCAAUAAGCUACAUUUAUGGAAUGCGACCUACGAAGGAUCAUUUUUUAUGCUUGAUCGAUCUCCUUGCACGAAAUGGACUUCUUGAGGAAGCUAAGGCUGCUAUAGAAAGCAUGCCAUAUGAACCUUGGCCUGCUGCGUGGAGGUCGUUGUUAAACGGUUGUCGAAUUCAUGGAAAUAAAGAGAUGGGUGAAAUUGCAGCUCAAAAGAUACUAAAAUUGGUGCCAAAUGAUGAUGGUGUUUAUGUCUUGCUUUCGAACAUUUAUGCUGAAGAUGGUAGUUGGGAAUGUGCAGAGAAGAUAAGGAUGAAGAUGGAAGAAAGGAGAGCCCAGAAGGUUCCUGGGUAUAGUAUGAUUGAGAUAUAAGGAAUAAAUAGUAAAUUCUGAUAAAGACAGCAAGACGAGCGCAAUCAGAAUUUCAGGUCUUUCAGAUAAUCGAUAACGAAGGUGCUUAAUUUCUUAAUUUUUGUGAAGUAUUUGAAGAUAAUUUACUUGUGAUUUGUGAAGUGAUCUGCAGUAUAAAACUCUCAAACUUGGUAGCCGAGCGAAAAGAAUGAAAGCAACAGAUCUGUUGUUACUGAGGUCAUAUUCACUGCUGAAGAACUGGGAAAGCUGUAUUAUGCUAAUGAACGAAGAGUGUUGGUACCGAAUCGAUAAAAGUAGAACAAAGGUUGAUGUGCUUUACAAAUAGGGCAAUGAUUCGCGCGGCUAUUUGUAUAACUGGAUUUAAUAGGGUUUGUAUAUAUGUGAAGCAAUUUAUGUACAGGAUUUAGUGAUGGUAGCAGUAGCAAGUACUGUUUAGUGUAUUGCACAGCAAAUUCCUCAUGCACAUUAAUUAUUUCUUUUAAGACCGAAACUUAUUCGAUCCUUCUACUUUUUAUAAUUUUUUUUUUUACUCUGAUUGAUUAUUAUACUAUGGUAAUUAACAGGAAAUUACACGAGAGUUGGCCCCUGAUAAAAAGGGUCUUUCUGAAUGUCAAGAUUAUAAACACUGACAAACUUUUGCUGAGCCAAGAGUUACUGCUUCUGUUCACUUUGCAAAGGGUAUAAUGCCUCCUUGCAUUAAGGCCUCAACUCUUGUUUAGCAACACUGGGGAUAUGGGUUGUCUAAUGAUUUAAAUUACAAUUAAGGUGCUUAUUUUGGAGAGCUUGAUCAGAUACUCACCUUGAAACAGGUCUUUGAAAAGGAAAUAAUUGCUGGAUUUAUUGGCGAAAUCUGCGAGUUUUAAAAUUGUAUCUUUGAACAAGACAGCAUUUCUAGGUGAGGCUCGUAAAGUUUUUCAGUUUUAUGUGCCUUCUAAGAGUCCAUGCCAACAGUUUAAAGUUGGUAAUGACAUUUUUUAAAGCCCUAAACAGCAGAAGAAAUAUACACAGUUGCUUCAGAUUGAAAUAGAUGCUUGCAGUUAACUGAAAAGAAGCAGGAAACGAAAAAAGAAGAAAAAUACGCAGAACAGCACCACUGUAAACAGGACUGAAGCAGUAAAACACUCUAAAUGUGAGACACUUGCUGCAUUAGGGACAAUAUAUAUGAGAAAUUAUAAUGUACAGAGCAACCGAAUUUUGUUCUCUUAUACCAUGACAUCAAAGUCAGAUCCAAAGUAUAUUAAACAAACCGAAUGAUGAAACAGAAAAGCCUCUGAACCUAAUCUGUCAAAAAACACUAGUCAAUCAAUAUUUAGUCUCUAUUAUAUGACUGUCAAGCCUCCGAGGGUACAACUAUUAAUUUCAGCCACUUCCACCCCCCAAACAACCAAAUGCCUUUUUGGGCUGUUGGAACAUCAUUCUGAUGCUUUUCUUAGCACUCAGAAGAUAUCAUUCGUUUAAGACGCUUCAGAAACAACAAGAGCUCGAAUUGUUACAUCAUCGUAGCAAACAAAUUCCAGGACCUACAAAUCAAAUGUUCUUAACUGCCAUCGGAUUGCCUUCACAUAUAAACAGCUUAAGUUUACAGAGCCAAGCAUUUCUACAUCACUGGCAUGUCAAACUACUCAAUGCAGAUAGCAGCACUUUACAUACUCUUUCCGUACUAUAGCAUGUCGACCAUGCUUCCAUCAUAUGUUUUCAAUCUACAAGCUGGCAGAAGCCAAAUAUAGUUAUCUUCAGAAUAAGAUAGGUUGAGCCAUGCAAGCCAUUCCUUGAAAACUUGAGGCCUCUUUAGCUCUGCUGGUGUUUCUUUUGAGUAGAGAGCUAUUCAAAAUAGCAUCAACAAUAUUUUUGUAAUUCCUCCUCAACAUCUUUCAGCUGUAACAGAAGCAGAAGGUUUAGAGACAUAAAAACUUAUUAUCACGUAAAAGGAAAGCUCCGUACUUCUUGUUUGCAAAAUGCCUCAUUUUUGGAAGCUUCUGCUUUCUGGGGUAGAGAAGUUGCUCCAUAAACCAGACAAAGACAGGUGUUAGAUAAAUUUGAACUCAUUUCGAGUCCCUCGAGGAUAGCUGUCCAAGACCUGGCAUCGGGAGCAUAAGACCUGCCGACCAUCUCCAUGAGAACUUGAAUUGCUUCGGAGAAAAGCCCUUUCUCACACAAGCCGCAUACUAGACGAUCAAAACUCGAAGGCCCCGGAUCGCACCCCUCUCUCAGCAUUUCCAAAAACAACUGAUAUGCUUCCAUCAUUCGACCUUCCAAACAUAACCCAUCAAUCAAAAUUCUAAAAGUAUGCGAAUUCCAUCUAAUUCCAUUCUCACGCACUUCAUUCAUCACCUCCCUUGCUUUCCUUAUCUCACUAACCCUUACAUACCCAGCAAUUAGUAUGUUAUAGGUCUCUAUAUCAGGAUUGCACCCUACUCUCCCCAUGCACUCAACCAUUCUACCAGCUCUUUCAAAAUCCCCUCGCUUACACAACCCAUCAAUGUAGGUGUUGUAAGUAAACUUAUCCGGCACAGUACCCGUCAGAAGCAUUUCAUCGAACAGUUCAUCAACCUCUUUAAAAUUUCCCUUCGAACUUAACCCACUAAGAACCAUAUUAUAGCUACCGACAUCCGGCCUCCGCCCAUCAAAAAUCAUCUGAUUGAGAACAAAAUAAGCAUCAUUCACCUUCCCAUCCCUAACAAGCGCCCCGAUCACCGCAUUACACUCCGGCACACUCGGCACGAAACCGACACUCCGCAUUUCCUCUAAGAAAUCCACGGCCUCCGCGGAGCCCAGCUCCUUACAAAUCGUUCGAAGCACCAAAGAAUACAUCUUUGCAUCGGGCUCGCACUCGUGAAGCGGCAUCAGACGCAUAAGCUCGAUCGCCGAGCCCACCUUCCCAAUUCUACAAAGUGCCCUAACAAGAACCCUAAAUGUGGACUCCUCGAUUCGAAUAUUCAGCUCCGGGGACCUCAAUAGCACGUCCCUGACCAACAAAAGGCCCUCCUUUCGCCUACACAGGAUCCCCAGCAACAAAUUUAGUGAUUUCGCAGUGGGCGCGCACCGUAAACGGGGGAUUUUGAAGAACACGUCGAGGGCCUCGCGGAUCAAGCCGAAUUUACCGAAAUUGCGGAUCAAAUCGAGGAAAAUGGCCUCCGGGGUGGGGGAUUGGUCGGAGGAUUCGAGGUGGGAGAGGAUCUGGGGGAGGUGGGAGCCGAGGAGGUGAGGGUGGCGGAAGAGGUGGGAUAGGGCGAAGGAGUACGCGGCGGGGGUCGGGGCGGAGUCGUAGGCGCGGAAGGAGUCGGUGAGGAGGGAGACGAAGGAGUCGGCGCCGGGUUCGGGGUCGGCGCCGAGUUUAAGCUUGAAGGAUUCGAGGGCGCAGGACUCGGCGACGACUCUUUCGUGCCGCUUCGUUUUGUAGUGCGGAGAGAGCGCCGGUUUCCAUCGUCUCAUGGCGCGGGGCUUCGCAUGAGAACGCUCGGAAGCGAGAGAACGAGCUCGACGAUCAAAGUGUAAAAUGUAAGGAUAGUCCCUACAAUAUUCCGAUACUAGAUGUUAUUCCUUAUCGUCUCAAAAAUGGAAAAAAAAAUUAAAAAUCCAAAUUAGUUAAUAUAAAAAAAGGACUGUUUUUUUGGUAUUUAGUUCUCUCAAAUUUUUUAUAAAUAAUUUUAAUAAAUUUAUAUUUGCAUAAAUAAUAUUCUCUUUAUUAAACAUAAUAAUUAAAUAAUCAUAUUUUUUUUAUAUUUUAUUAUUCUAAAGUUAAAAAAUAAGAACUAAAGUGUGAAUAUGAACAAAGUGAUUCUAUUAUCGUAUUUAACUUAAAAUUAUCGGCAUGAUACUCACAUGACGAUAAGAAGAGGAUCUAUAUAUAAAUAUAAAUAAAAUUUUAUUAGGACCAUUUGUCAAGAAAAGAUUUUUCAGGGGGCUAAAUAUAAAAACUCCUAAAAAAAUGGCAACUAUAAAAAGGAAAAGUCUACCUGGCUAGAUGGCGCCACGUGGCAGGUGGCGCCCAUCGGAGCCGUGUACUACAAAUUGUGGUUUUUUUUUUUACUUUUUCUUUUUUAUUUUCUUCGAACUCAAUUAUAAGCCCAAAAAUAAAUCAAAUUUCGCAACCCCUUAAACCCUCUCUUCGAACCCCUUCGCUCUCGCCGCACCCUUCGCGCGCUCUUCUCCUCUCAAAUUCACUAAUCAGGUGAACGAUCGCUACUUUAUUAAUCUACUCUUCUCUGAUCCAAUCCCUAUGUUUUUUUUCCGCUUUUUUUUGGUAAUUUAUAGACCUUAUUUGUGCUUUUUUUCUUCUAUUUUUGCUUGACUUGUUAGGGUUAGUGUAAUUUUAUCCUAUUUUCCCUGAUUUUUUUGUUCUUUUUAUCUGUUCGAUUCGUUAGUUUUUUCGCAUUAUAUUUGUUAUUUUCAUAUAUAAUCGGGAGGAAGAAGAAGUUGUUUUUUUGGUUAUUUUUGUUGAUUUUCUGUAAAAUUAACUCCUUACGUUAGUAUACUCUAACAAGGUUUUGAAGAUUGUUUAAGAAGAAAACGAUGUUUUGUUGUCAGAUUUUUUUUCUUUUUUUUUUUAUUUUUGCGAACAAUGGGAUUGCAACGUAUGAGAAAUUUCAGGGAGUAGGGUGUUUAAACGAGAAAUUUCAGGCAUAAAUCUUAAAAUCAGGGUUUUGCGGUGACGAUUUAUAUAUUUUUUUAACUUGUUUUUCAACUGUAAAUAUAUAUGAUUGGUUGUGUAAAAGUUUUUCAAGGGGGCUUAUUUAAUGUAUGAUGCUUGCUGUUAUUGAAAAAGAACAUGUGAAAGAUCUUAAGGAAGUUAAUAUUUUACUAAAGAUAAAAUAGUAGAAUAAUAAGGACUAACAAAAGGUUAGAAAUGAUUAAGGCCUACUAUGGGAUUGGCGGAUUGCAUUUUCAAGAGCACCUGCUUUUAUUCUUUGAAGGUCCGAAAAUCCAAAAGUGCGGUACAUGAUUCUCUGGCGGCUGUUGCCACCGCAACUUCUAUUGGAGAAGGGAAGAUUGGAGGCGCUUUCGAAUUUUUUGGGCCUUCCGAAGUAUGAAAGCGGGUGUCUUUAGCCGCCGCAAUACCAAACUCGGCCUAAAUGUAUGUUCUUGUAAGAAUGGAAUAGAUAUAGAUAUAGAUAUAGAUGUUAACAUUAGUAUCCAUUUAGUUUCUUAUGAGUAUCUUUGUUUUGUUAGCGAUGCCAAUUUUUCUUUUUCUUUUUUUUUAACUAAAGAGAUGCUUAUUAUGAAGAUGAUUAAAAUUUAAAAUUUUGAGUCCUUAUUUUUGCAUUGCGGAUGCUUAAUACUUCAUUGUUUUUUUAAAAAAAUUAUUUAGGGAAGGGUAAAUGAAGAACGAAAUGGAUGGCUCUUCUUCUGCUCCCCCUCCUCGCAAGGUGCUUGCUCUUUUUAUUCUUUGUUUGCAUUGCCCACUCUUUCUCAAUUUGUAAUUUUUAUCUUGUCAUAUGCUUUUUUUUUUUAAAGAUAUAUCUAUUGUUUAUUGUGGCAGUUAAAAUUCGCACCCAAAAUCCCUCCUCGCAAGACGCAAAAGACUGUUGUACCAAAAGUGUACGUAAAUGAAUCCAAUUGCAUGAUUUGAUAGCACAUUUCUCUGUACCUUUCUUGUCUGGGCCAUGAAACUUGUGAUAAUCUUCUUUAGGGAACCAUCUGAGACAAAAGAAGAGACCAUCGAUAAGGAGCUUCUGAUGAAACUUAGAACUGCAAAGGUACUGCUGGUUUCUCUUACCCUCUAUGAUGAUGUUUGAGAACCUAAUCAUGCUUGGAUUUUAUGAAUCAAAGCUUUUCUUUUGCAGACUAAUGAUGGUUUUGGUCAGAGAAAGUCUAAGAAUGAAAAGGAAGGUAUGGUUUAGUUACAUGUACUAUUACUUUUCUGUUUACUCUUUAUCACAUUGUGGCAUUAGCUUUCACUUUCUCAAUUGCAAGGGAUUGAUGCAUGAUCUUUUUGGUUUAAUGGAUGGAUAUUCUAGUUUAGCUCAGUGGCUGAGCAUAUAUUGAUGGGCAUUUCAAUUCAAAACAUGAUCUACGUUUAGGACCCCAAUUGAGUCUUUAUUUUCAUCUUAUUAAGUUCAUUGAUGAGUCUCUUCAGUGUUAAUGUUGUUAAUUUGCUAUUUUGUCGAUUAAAUAGACUAACCAGAUCUAUAUAUAUUUGUUAUACUUAACUUUUCUCACUUCAUAUUUAUUAGUUUGUAGUUGUUUCCUUAUUUUUGUUAUGGAAGAAUCUUAAUUUCUAUAGGAGUAACCUAAUAUCGUGUUGCAGCUUCCUCAACGCAAGUCGCAUUUGGCCCAGUGAAUUCUUUGAAGGCAAGAUCAUUUCCUCUUCCUAGAGAUACUACUACUACAGGUACUUAAGUUGUGCUAACCAAGGUUCGUUUUUUCUUAGUUUUUUCUUUGUUUGUAUUCAAUGUGGACCUGAUGAGCAUUCUUUUUUGUUCAUUUUAGAUGCAUCAUCUCCCAAAAUAGAUAAAGAAUAUGCGGAACCCUGGGUGAGUAAUUAAAACAUUUCUUCACCAACUAAUGUUUCUUCUCGCAUUCUAUCUUAUAUCCUUUAAUAUUACUGCAGGACUAUACCCACACAAAUUAUCCUGUUACUCUUCCUUUGAGAAGGCCCUAUUCAGGAAAUCCAGGUAAUUAUAUUACUGAUGCUUACCCUAACCUUUUGCAUCAUGAUCACUUCACUGGGGUUAUUUUCUUUUCCCCCCCAUUUGUCCAGAACUUCUUGAUGAAGAGGAAUUUGGGGAGGCUGCAAAAAGCUCAGUUCCAAAUGAGGAUGACGUAAAUGCAGCUGAGCAACUUGGGCUGAUGGUAUGUGUAUUUUCUGGAGUGACAAAGUUCUCUUAAUUGCAAAAAUGGAUAGAGUGCUGUUCCUCUGUUGGUUGCUUAGAAACAAAUCCUUGAACUGUGUAUUGAUGGGUAAAAUGUAUGGAUAGUCUCAUUACUGUACUGAUAAUGGAACUUGGUUCCUGAACUACUCACAUAAACACUUUAUUCCCUCAACUUUCUCAUAUAUUCUAUCCCUGCUGUUUAAAAAGAUUCUAACAUCUGUUGACUUCUGUUGUGGAGUGGCAUUCUAUAAGUGCUAAUUUUACAAGAACUUUUUCUUAUGGUCAGGAAUGGAAUCACAAUAUAUAAUGAAAGUUUAUGGAUCAAAGUGUUUAGCUCAAAUGUUCAUGGCCCAAGUAGCAAUUUCAGAAUUGUGCCAAUUCUAUCCAUUCAGUUUACACUUGUUUGAUCCCCUCAGCCAACUAAUUCUUUGCUUUGAGAAAAUUCUGUCAGAAUUUUGUGGUGUUUUUGACUUUUUGGUCACAACAUUCUGUCAACUUACUAGAUGGAAUUACUUGCAAGUUUUUGAUGGUAAUUGUUGGGGGCCUGAAACUUUGAAAGGGGUUAAUGUUUAGGACACCUUGCCAAGGAAACCAACUGUUUGAAGGGGUGCCUUUAUUUAUUGUAUAUCUUUGACAUCUUUUGCAAUGAUAACAGGAGGAAACGGAUGAACCACAAUUCCUAUUCUUUCAGUUGCCGGCUGUUCUUCCCUUAGCGAAAAAGCCCGAUGCAUCAGCAGACGCCAAAAAAGGGUCUAAUAAGACAGUUCUUGCUUCAAAACUGGAGGAGGUUCCCGAGGGCCGUAUUGGGAAAAUUCUGGUUUACAAGAGUGGAAAAGUAAAGAUGAAGUUGGGAGAUUUGCUAUUUGAUGUGAGUGCUCAAAGCCCAUAAUUUUACUUUGCUAUUAUAGUUCAUGAUGUGAUUUGUCAUUUGUGUCAUACUUAAAUAGUUUCUUUUCGAUCUUCGGACUGUUAAAAAUUUAGUGCUUGCGCUCUUGAUGUUUGACCCAUAUUUCUACUUUGUCCUCAUAGUUCCAAUUUUAGCAAUUUAGCCUUGAAACUGUUUUUUGCAACAAGUCAGCAAUUCAGUCAUUAGUUUAGUGUAUCAGAUAAAAUAUUACAAAGUAAGCACUAUCUGUAGACUUUGUUGAAAAUUAAUUUCUGAAGAAGAAAUUGAAACCCAUUGGAGACCAACACGAAAAUGAGGUCUAACUUAUGGGGUAAACUUGAACUAUGAGGAUGAAAUGGAAAUGGCGGUCAAACUUUAGGAGCUGAAUUGUUGCAAUUUAAACCGAGGAUGAAAUCGAAAACUGCGUCAAACUUUUGGAACUGAAUUUCUAAUCAACAGUUGGAAUUUUUCUGCAGGUUUCUCCAGGCGCCAAUUGUGUUUUUGCUCAAGACGUCGCGGUAGUUGAUACUAAAGAGAAGCAGUGUUGCAUUGUUGGAGAGCUUGGGAAGCGUGUCGUGGUAACGCCCGAUAUCAACUCUCUUCUGGGUUGUAGUGAAGAUAUAGAUGUUUCGUCGUACCCAUAAACGGCAUUUUUUUUGUUUUUUUAAUGUAUGUCAAAGUUCUUUGUAGAUCUGCGGAACAAAGAUAGUAUGGUAGUAUGGCUUCUUAUUUGCUAGGCAUGGAUACUAACUCUUAUAUUGGAUUGGAAUUUCUCAGUUUUAUACUUUUAUUUAUGCCAAAAUUUUGUAUAGAACUUUGAAAUAAAGAUCAUAUGUUAGGUUGAAUUAGAAAUUUUUGCUGGAUUGAUUAUUUUGAGGCUCGAGUAAAAUGAUCCAUUUUACUGCAUCUGUGGAUUGGUGAAUGAGUGGUUACAGUGCAUUGCCUAAUGGUGUAGCCUAUUUAUGUCACGGUCCAUAUUCAUGAUAUCUUUCUUCUGUAGAGGAAUAUUAUACUUACAAUCGUUAGCAUGCAUCUAAAUAUUAUUAAGAUUUUUAACUGAAUAAUUGAUGUGGUUCACGCAACGGUGGGCUUAAAAAAUAUAAAAAUAAUAUAACAACGGAUAGAACAACUUGUUUUUGAAAAUAAUAUUUUAUACAAAGAAAGAUAUAAUUCAAUGAAGGAUAAGGUAUUGCAAGAUAAGGGCACUUGUCGCGUGCAAAAAGGGUCUUUGUGAUUGAAUAAUUCCAAAUAAAUAACCUGCUGCAUCAUCAGAACUCCGAAGAACAUCAUCAUCUCUCAGUGUUGUACAGGGUAAGAUUUUACAAACAAAAUGUUGCAGUUUAGCAUUGCUAGUAACUAAACUUUCUCAUAGAAUUCUUACACAUUCAACAAGCUCCUGAUAUGAGAAUAUGCACACUCUGCAUUACAAAACGCUUCCUUUUCAUGCAGAACAUAGAAAUUUCGGCGAAAAAGAUAACAUUGUUAUCUACAGCUACUACUAGGAGAAGAAGAAAAUACAAAAAACACGCCUACUAAUAUUGCCUGAAUGUAAGAUUCAGGCGUCCGGGCCGAAGAUUACUGUCCUCAAUUAGCCGCUUCGGUGCCGUCUUUGGUUUGAUGCAUGGAACUCCAUGGAAUAUAUUCCUCGACUUGCCGCCGAACAACAGAACAUCACCGGACUCGAGUUCGAUCCUUUCAGCCUUCGCAGCAUCUCUCUCGACUCCGUACAAGAACUCUGCUGAGUCACCCAGAGAGAAGGAAACAACAGGUAACCCCUUGACAAGGCUGCUUUUGCUCUCAUCUUUGUCCUGCGCGACGAAGGGUACAGUAGCAUCAAGUAAAUAAUUUAAAAAUAUGAGGAAAAGAAAUCGAACAGUCACAAACAUUCAACAAAGCUCUGCUCAAAGUAUUUAUUUGUAAUGAGAUAUACCUGAUGAAGGCCUAGUUUUCCACUGUUGCUAUAGAAGUUCGCAAUGCAAAUAUCAGGCGACAUCCAAGGAAGUUCCCCCUCAACAUUUUUAACUCCCUCCUCUUGGACUAGGAAAUCAUGCGAAGCUUGAAUGGCAUUUUCUACCAACUUCUUAAAGAGCUGAGGAAUUUUGGGCGGUACGGCACCAUCAAAGAACCGUUUCUCUUCGUAUGAGCUAGUUUCUGGAUCCCAAUUCUUGCCUAAACACAUCAUUAGGAGAUGUAACUUCGCACCGUCUGAGUAGCCUGGUGUGUAGAAUCCUCCCGCACCAAUGCCAAGUUCUCGGCAUUUUUUUAUGAUACUAACCUAUUAGGAAAAUCAAAUAGAACAUCUUAGAAUCUCGAAGGGCAUGUAUGAUUUUACAAGGAUAUAUCUGCAAAUAGAUGACUUUUCUCAAUAAGAAAACAAGAUUACAGAUUGAAACUUGCCUGAUCAUGAUGUCCAAUGAAACCUUUUAAGAGCACCAUUCCAGGUCUCAAAUAUUUCUUCUGGCGGUUCCUUCUUUUUUCUCUAUUGAGUUCAAGUAGAGAAGGUCGCAACGUGAAGACGGUACGUUUGCUCUCAUCCAGACAUAUAUCGAAAGGUCUUCUCUCAGAAUCACAUCCAGCAAGUUUCCAGCUACAGGAAGAACUUUUCCUAUCUACAGAAGCUUUUGCUUCUCCUUGUUUAACAUCUCGGAAAGGACCGCCUCGUGUGUCACUAUAACUUUCGAACGUUUUGCUCUCAUCCACACAUGUAUCGAAAGGUCUUCUCUCAGAAUCACAUUCAGCAAGUUUCGAGCUACAGGAAGAACUUUUCCUAUCUACAGAAGCUUUUGCUUCUUCUUGUUUAACAGUUCGAAGAGGAAUGCCUCGUGUGCCACUGCUGCUUACACAUGAGGUCGCCAAACCGGCUAUUUUUCCGUCCAAAGAAGAGGUUCCAACAGAAGGUCGUGUGCCAUUACUUCUUUUUUCUCUAUUGAGUUCGAGCGUUUUGCUCUCAUCCACACAUGUAUCGAAAGGUCUUCUCUCAGAAUCACAUUCAGCAAGUUUCAAGCUACAGGAAGAACUUUCGCUAUCUACAGAAGCUUCUGCUUCUUCUUGUUCAACAGCUCGAGGAGGAGCGUCUUGUGUGCCACUGCAGCUUUCACUCGAGGUCGCUAGACUGGCAAUUUUUCCGUCCGUUGAAGAGUUUCCAACAGAGACCUACAUCUCCAAUCAAACUUAUAUAAGAAUAUAGAUGUAUCAGAACAAAACAUAUGAAUUCAUGGAUUUUCGAGUACUACUAUCACUCUUCAAAAAGAAAAAAAGUGUGAAUAGUUCUAGAACACAAUAAUUGUACAUCACUAGAAACUGAUUAAUCAGCAGAUAUAUUGCACAAUAAACAAUUGGUCAUCACUUUACAUAUUCGCAAAGCAUAUGCAAAGCUACAAUUACACGAGAAUAAACAUUACAUAGGGGAAUAAUAAACUAGGUUUUUUUUUGUGAAAAAAAAACUCAAAAUCAAUGUUUAGGAAUUGUUUAGCAGCUGCAGCUUCUUUGUAACUUGCUUGGUGACAGUGUCAGAAGCAGAAGCCAUAGGUUGGCCCUGCUAUUAUGAAUACAAUAUUGUUCAAUAAAGUACUAUUUGAAUGUGUUAUUAGGUGAAACAUUGCAACAAAAUCCCCAAAACUCUCUCCGCAGCAGAAGAGAAGCUCUGAAUCAAAGCUUCUUCUUUUUGGGCUCAGAUUCUUGUAGCAGCAGAAGCUUUAAAACCUUCUCUUUUUUCAAACACUAUGAGGUGCACAACAAGCACUUACGACCACAAAACUCAUUCCAGAUUCUCGCCACAGCAAAAGUUACAAAAUUUAAUUCGCCAAAUUCUUGGAAAUUAGAUUCGUAACCACGCAGCAUCAUAACAAUCAAGAUCACACCACAAUAAUUAGCACAAGAGCUCCAAAACGAAUCAAAAUUGCCCCCAAAAUUUACACUAUUCCCACAAUCGAAACAACUCACACCUCAAUCGAAUCAACUCCCCACCACCUAACCAAAUUUCGCCACCCCAGCAUCAAACUAUUCACCAAAAACUCAGAAAAAUUCGAGGAAAAAGAAAAAGAACAGAUCGAGGAGAGAAAUCGAUACCGAUCCGCCGCUCCGCGGCGCGCGUCGGCGAGUCGGGGACGCGCCGGGGGUUCGCUCGCCCCUCAUCGUCGUCUCGGAAUAAGCGGGAAUUGGGAAUAACAGGAGCGCAAUAAGUAAUACGAAGGAGAAAAAAAUUGCGAAUUUGGAGAAUAGAUAAUGCGGUAUAAAUAGAGGGAAUCGAAUUCGAAUAGGACUGGGUAAAAAUGUUUGGAGGCCCCUCAGCUAUACAGUUCUUUGAAAUAACCUCCUACACACCAUUAUAUUUUUUAUCAAGAUCUCUCCACUUUGAAUUUUUUUUAAAAUUGAGAAAUUUAAACAAAUAAAUUAAAAAAAUGUACCAAAUUAUCUAAUAAUUUUAUCAAGUUUAAAAUUGAUCUUAUACAAUUUGAUACAAUUUGAAGUUAAAGUUGAAGGGUAAUUUCAGAUUUGAAUAUAGUUUAGGGCGAUUUCCGUGCAUUUUCACCGAGUUAUUCUACGGAGCGUGUCGCAUGCGGAGGCGCGAGAUCCACCGUCCGAUUAUCAAGUGGCGAAUCGGGACCGUGCAUUAACGAACGGUCGCAUAGCACCGCUUUGCAUGUAAGUUUAUCGAAAAAUGUCCCGAGUGGAUUCGGGAAUCGGGAGUGUUCCCCGGUAACAGGUGAGAAUUUAUCGCAUCGGAUUGGACGGUGGAUGAGGAAGGAUCGAAUUUUCAUGGCAUCAUCCGACGGUCGAAAAUGGGAGCCAAUGUUGUUUGACUGGGACGAGGAUCGAAGCAACAGGUUUUUUUUAAGAUUUUAAUAAAUCUUAAAAAAGAGACUUUUCCAGGAUUUAUUUAAUAUAAAAUUUACCAAAAAAUAUAUAUAUUUUUAAUUAAGUUUGUAAAAAUUUAUAUGCUAGGUAAUAAUAAUUUGUUAGGUUUAAAUGAUCAUUCUAAAACAUUUUAGUCUAUAUAUACUUGUGCACAUUUUGAGUUCGAGUUAGACUAGGGUUCAACUUAACUACUCGGGUUCGACGUCAAUCCAAACCCAAUCCAAAUUUGGGUUUGUUGGAAUUUUCCCAAUCCGAAUCUAACCCAAGUUUUCAAAUUUGGAUAAAGAGGGUUAGGGUUGAACCAGACCCAAACCAGAUUGCACCCAUAAUAGUAAACAACACCUACAAAAUCAUUGCACUAUACAUUACUUAGAAAACAUUCAUUAAAAAAAAAAGAAAAAUUGUACAGUGGAGUUCCAGCACACUACUAAUUACUAAAUGCCAAUGAUGUCACCACCUCACCUCAUUAUUUAUGGCAAUUAUUUAAAAAAAUCAUAAAACUUUUUUUAAAAAAACUAGAAGAUAUAAUGAACUAAUUGGGUGCGCUUGGUGUAUCUCACGCUAAUCCAAAUCUCAAAAUCAAAUAUUUUCUAAUAAAUAAUGUGCACAUCGAACACUAAUAAGUUAUAAUAAUUUGAUUGUGAGAAAUGUUUAAUAAGAUUUUAGGUCUAAGGGUGCAUGGUGAACCGGGUGCAUGCAAUAAACUCUCCAACGAGCAAAUUAACUUCAAUACUCCCGUAAAAACCAAACGCCAUAUUAGUGCAUGGAAUCGAAGAAUCCAAAAACUGAUAAUUAAAUUCUUUCUUUUUUCACCUUUUUUUUUUUUGAAUCACACAACAUGAUCUCACCUUAUUACUAUAUUUACCAUCCUUUCCAAUUCUAUCUUAAUCCACAAAGAAAAAAAAGUAAAAAUAAAGUAAAAAUAACACACAAGAAACAUCUACAUGGGCCUUCAUAGUUUCCUCCUCCCCUCUCUGUUCUCCUCUUUUUUUAUAAUUGCAGCGCUAUCUACCUUAGACUUUCCUCUCGGAGCCCAAGUAACAAUUCCGAUCCCUUCGGCCUUUGAAUCGGGGUUUAAAGGAAGAGCAUUCGUGCUCGAUGCAAGACGGGCGCCUCCGAACUUUAGAGUGGCACUGAGUGUUGAGGCCAUCAGCAGCGGUGGCGGCGGCGGCAGUUCGGGGUAUUUGUGUUCACUUGUAGUUUUUUUGAAAGAAACAAAAGUGUGGACGUCGGAUUACGCAGCAAAGUUUCUACCGGCCAAAAGUUGCGUGCUUAAGUUGACAGAAAACGGUGACCUGCGGUUGACAGACUCCGUUGGAAAGAUCGGUUGGCGGACUCUGACGUCGGGACGAGGUGUGAAGGUGAUCAUACAAGUCUAAAAUACUCCACUUAAAAUUUUCUUUUUUUUUAAGAAUUAGAAAAUUGCCUUUUAGUGCCUCAGAAUUGGAGAAUCCUAAAAGAUGAGGAUAAGAUUUUUUUUUUUUUCAAUUUCAUAAAAGGAAUUUGAAUCUGAGAUUCCUCUUCUUUUGGUGAAGUAUAUAGUAAUUAUCAAAGCCUUCACUCUUAUAUGUUCCGAAAAUUGUGAUUCUAUUUGAUAUCCAUCGAUUUGAAUCAAACAGGAACUCCACCUUCAAAAGGACACAGGAAAUCUCAUUCUCAGAGAUGCAGAGAACAAAACCAAAUGGCAAAGCUUCGACUAUCCGGGAAGCGUCCUGCUGCGCGGCCAACGGCUUAACACACCAGCUCGUCUAACGACUUUUCCGACCGACUUCUCGGUGUACUACUCCUUAGAGCUCCAACAAGGAAAGCUGGUAACUUACCUCAACUGGAGAGACAAGAAGUACUCCUACUGGAAAUUCUCGCCGCGCGGCGACAGGAACAUCUCAUUUGCUCAACUGGGCUGGAGGGGCCUGAAACUUUUCGACAGGAACUCGAGAAAGAUCGCGCAGAUACUAGCGGGAGGAUCGGUACGGUUCUUAUCAUUGGGAAGUAAAGGAAACUUAGGGCUGUACUACUAUUCGACAGCGCGCGGAAAAUUUGAAGCUUCAUUUAAAGCACUCAGAUUUUGUGACCUUCCCCUCUCUUGUGGACCUUGUGGGGUGUGUUCUUCUUCAACCAACACAUGCAAAUAUCUGCAACUAUCAAGGAUGGAGAAGAAUAACAUUGGUACAAGCUUUUGUGGGGACUCUGCUUCUGAGGUGGUAAUGGAGGAAAUAAAGGGGGUUGAUACUGUUCUUAGGCCUCCAUUCCCAAAAGCAAAUUUGAGCUUGGAGGAGUGUCUGGGUUCAUGCUUGGAGGAUUGCUCUUGUGCUGCUGCUUUUUACAUGGAGAGGGAGUGUUUUCUCUAUAAAUUGGUGGGGGGUUUGAGAGAAGUAGAAAAUGGAAGUGGGUUUAGUUAUUGGGUGAAGAUCCAAAAGGAGAAAAUUAGGGUUCAUGGGGUUUCUUCUAGCCUCCUAACAAAGAUUUUGAUCUUAGGUGGGGUUAUUGAUGGGGUGGCCCUUUUUGUAAUAAUGUGGGGGUUGCUGUACUAUUUCUGCAAAAUUCACAAGAAAACGGAUAAUUCGGAACCGAAUAACAAUUGAUUUAGAAACAUGCUUUGAUUUGAUUACUUCAUACUGAAAGAGAGCACUUUUCGAAAUACAAAAGGUUUGUUACUAGUCAGAUGAUAAGUUUAGUAUGGUCAUUACAUCUUUGAGGUUAAUAUCUUUUAUACAACGAUGGAGUUAGCGAUGCUCCCAUCUCCAGUUCUCUUCAUCUUCGUCGAUUUCAACAACCUCAUCCUCGUAUUGAGAGUCGGAGCCGUCUAAGUCGUCAAAAGGGUCUUUGUUCUCAUCGUCUUCAUCCUCAGAUGAUUCUUCUUCAGGAUAGUCAUUGAGAGGGUUAUCUUCGGCUAAAAGAAGCAAAAAAACAGUUUAGUGGAUUCAGUAUCCUGAUUUACAUAGGGAGGAUUAAUUCAUAGAAAUGAGAGUAGAGUUACCAUUUGAAUCAUCAGUUUCAUAUUCAGAGUGUUCAGGGCCGUCGUAGUAAUCCUCGUCGUCAUCAACUUGCACCCUGCAGCAAGCAAAUAACAUCUUGAUAUUACAAAAACAAAGAAAUAACUUCAAAUUGUAGUAAGAAACAGGGUAUCAGAAAUAUUUACAGUGGAUAGUUGGUUUCCGCAUCCUCCAUGUUGCUAUCCACACCAUCCUCCACAGUAUAUAGGUCGUAAACGUACUUAUCUGUUCAAGCAACUGAAUGUUAGUACACUCAGGCUUAAACAAAACGAUUAAUGUGAACUUGUGAAGAAAAAAAAUGAUUCAGCUAAGUCUUUGAAAGAUCACAAUAUAUUUAAUUACAGUGCAACACUUAAGUCUUCAAAUUUCACAGUUAAUACUUUUGACAGAGUGCUGAUGGCACAGUUACCAAAGUGAUCGAAAUCAAACAGCAUGGUUAUAAUUUAUUUUUACUAUGUAUCUUCUAUGCUUAUGAAAAUAAAAAUUUCUAUUCUACAAAUACAAUUAAAUUUGGUGGGCUGUCAUGUGCAAAUAUUUCUGGUAACAAUGCGAUAAAAUAUCAAGCUUGAUAGCAUAUCAGAUAUCAUUCUGCAUUGUUUGAAAAAUCGAGACGACCUUCUCUGGAUUGAUGAGAAAAGAUAUCUGAUUCGAUCUCUGCGGCAGCUGUCGGUAUGUACUCCCUUAUAAGUGGCAGAUAAUUACACAAAAUUGCAUCAUCUUCUAUCGAAGAACCUCUGUAAUAUAGUCCAUAACGGCAGUUAUUACGAGGAAGACGACACAAAUGGGACAAAAAUAACCUAAACUUAAAAAGUUAACGCAGAAAUUUAGAAAGCAAAACUUACUUUUGCUUUUGUACCCUUUCAGAUUCUUCAUCCUCAACAUCAACUCGAACAACAUCAUAAAGAUGGCAUAUUUCUCUCAAAGAUUCAUUAUCUGCAUCUCUGCCCCCUUUUCUACUUCUCCAUAUUUGUUCAAAGCGAGCACUUCUUACUCGAUCCUGGCAAAGGAAAAGGCAUUCCGGUAUCACUUGACAAAUUAAUUUUGAUUAUGUCCAAUGGUCUAUAUAUUAAAAGGAUUAAUGAGAUUGUAGAACAGGAAAUUGGAAAUGAAAAAAAUUCUGCAAACAAAAAUCACUGGCUGAAUGAAGCCAAACCAAAAUGAAGGUGUCUACAAAAAAAAAAGAAUUAAGAGCUUCUAAUCUUACCCUAAUGGCAUAAAGCACCAUGUUAGCAACUUGUCCAUCAACGAAAAUUCACAGAGAAUUAGUUAUGAUAUCAUAUCCUACAUGGUAUUAUUUAAGAAACUUGUAGAUCGAACUGAUAUACAAAAGUCAGAAGGAAAAGCAAUGCAAAUUAUAUCUUCAUAAUUCUUGAAACAAGAAAGAUAAACACAUAAGAAGAUUGCCUACUGAAGCGACAGAAUACAACAAGAUGCAUCUUCUGAACGUAAUUACUCUUCUAUUGAUAAUGAAAUGGAGACAAAUAGUACAUAGAGUAAAGAGUACCUCAUGGUUUUGUCUUGCUAUUGAACGCAGCUUAUCUUGCUUCUGCUGGCAUCAUAGGAGAAAAUUCUCAGUUUUCAGACAAGCUAAUCAGCAAUCAACUCAGCUAUAUUACAAAUAAUACAAAUUAUAAGGAAAUAAGGAAAGUGAAAAUGCAAUCUUUCAUUAUGUCGAUAUGAAGUCUAUGGACUGAAGAGUUGUGGCAUGAGCUCAUCCCCAAUUUUAAUACAUGCACAGCAAAGAGACAAUGGACAAAACUCAAGCUUAACAAUCCGCUUUUCUUUUCAAAACAAAAGGAAGCCUCCAAAAUGAUCAAAUUAGUUUUCAAAACCAUUAAAAGUUAAUAAACACCCAAUAAAUUACGCUCCGCUCUGGAUAAACUCAACUGAGUUCAUUCUUGAUCCCGCCGAUAACAUUAAAAUAUACCGACUCUGAAGGCAACAAACAGGCAAAGCAAGAUGGAGCAUAAGGAAUUUGCACGCCCAGGACACAAAAUAAGAAAAAUUAGACCACAAAGCUUACAUUAUCUUGUUUGAAUCUGUUCUUCCGCUCCACAUUCUUACUCUUCGGCUCCUCCUGACCGCUGGGAUCAAGCUGUUGAAAGGUAACAAUAAACGCAGUUAUUUGUUAGACUGCCAACAACUCCAUCUAAACUUUCCACACACACACAUUCAGCAGCAAAUCAUAAUGAGCCAUAUAAGAUCAAAAUUGCGAGAACCAAUGAAAAGAGAAGCGGACUAUGCGGCUAACACAGAAUUUAACAAGACAUUGAAAAAGGAGAAUGAAAAGUUAGAAGCUAACCAGAAAAGAAUGCAAAACAUCUUUGAUAUCUUCAGACUGCCUUACAGUCUCAACGUGCUGCACUAAAAGCUUCUUUGGUUUAGCUUCCCCUGCAAUUAUUAUUAUUCACAUGAUUAAAGAGAAGCCGCCGAAAUUCGUCGAAGAUACCAAGAACAUCAACAAGCAAUCAUUACCUUGUUCUGAGAUGGAACUGGAGAUGGAGAGGUUCCCAAUAUCCAGCAACCGCCUCUUUAGCGGCCUCUCAUUGAUCUCUAGCCCUGAAAAUCAACACAAGUUAAUCUUCCCCAGAAAGUUGGUCAGACAGAAGGAUUUUUUUUUUUUCUGAAUUUCAGAAAGCGCAAGAAACUGACAGAAUGCAUCCAGCCUGGCCUGAGAAGACUUCCGCUUAACCCGAACAACAACUGGCUUCACCUUAGCAGUAGCAUCCGGAUUGGAAGAUGAGGCGGCCGCAGAAGGAUCUGCAGGCUGUGCCAUAAUCUUCUCGGACCUGCAGAAAGAACUGCUCUCGAACGUGACUCGACUCAGCCUGACCUCUUAUAGACUACUCUAGAUAAUAAUUUUCUGCUGUAAAGUUCCGCGGAAAUCCGGGACCUGCUCUGAUACCAUUUACAAAUCAGCGGCGUGGAUUACGAUUUGAAAAGCUAGAGUUGGUUAAAAGAGAGUAACUAAUUGUUUUACAUAGUAUACUGGUCUCGAUUGUGACUCGACUCAACCACGCCAACAAAAACGCCUCGAUACAACUUCGAGGGGAAUUUGAGGGGGUUUAGCUUCCGAAUAGGGUUUUUGGGUGCAUGUCGACCCGGAUACACCGACCCAGCGACAUGUUCUCCAGGGGACGCAUUGUGCCCUAGCGGCGGCGCACGGUGCGGACGCCCGUAGUCGGCGGCAAGCGGAAUUCGGCGGCGAUUUUUCCUCCCUGCCGACUUCCUCUAUCCUACACCAUCCCCUCAACCCCAGAAAUUUAGAGAGAGAGAGAGAGACGUACCGUGGAUUCUGCGGCGAAGACGACGAUUUUCUCUGAUGGAGCCCCAAACAAUAGGGCUGCGUUUCUUUGAAGAACUAAGUUUUUGGGAAAAAAAAAUUUUGUUUUUUAAAAACAAGAAUAUUUUGGUGAAUAAUUAUAAAUUUAUGAGAGGUAUUUUAGAGAAAAUUCUUAGGCUUCUUUUUGGAAUUGUGAUGAAAUUGCGUUACGUGCGGUGGAAAAUUAUAUUGAAAAAAUAUCAUAUUUGUUUCUGUACUUAAUAUUGCGUUCCACGUAUCGCGAUGAAUUGAUAUAUUUUCUGCGGUCUCACCGAAGAACAUAUAAACAUAUCCCUAUAUGCUUUUUCCACAACUCCAUUUUAUCUAAUAGCGUUAGAUAGAUCUCAAACCUGAGUAGCGUUUGGAUAAAAAAUCUAGAACAAUGUCUAAAUAUAGUUUUAAAAGUAAAAUAAUUAAUUUAUAUUAUAUAAAAUUAUUUUUAUAGUAGUUUAUAAUAUAAUAUUUUAUGUAUAAUGUAUAAUUUAAUUUAAAAUAGUAUAUUUAUUUGGCCAAUUUGCAUAAAAAAUCCACUUAUUUUGGGGUUUUGCAAAAUCGGGCCACCUUUUUCCUUUUUGCAGAUUCGGUCCGCUUUUUCCGCCGCCUGACCAAAAUGCCCCUCCUAUACAAUAGCCUCCCGCGUAUUUCUUGACAUACGUAUACUGCCCUGCCGUACGGUCUGGCGCGCAUUAAAUGACCCGUUCAAUCUCAGUCAUUUCUCGGAACCCGGACCACUUCCACCCCCGCUAUUCGCCGACCCCGCUGUUUCCUGUUUGGCUUUAAUUCUUUAAUACAAUAACUCACGAUAAAUGAGAAAAUAUGCACGGCCCGAGCAGGGAUAAUAGUGCAACGCAAAGUGAAACGAGACCGAAAAAAUGGUGCAACUGCCAUUAUAACAGUGCAUCGCUAGGUCGCACCAGUGCAACCUCUCCAAAAUCAGUCAAAAUUUUACUUUCUCUAUUCCUUAAUAUAAUCUCAACUUUUACUGCAAAUGAACGGCUACCCCUCCAAAUGAAGCCGAAGCGUCGGCGGCGCAGGACGGUGGCUGCGGGGCUCGAAGGUCGGCGAUGUGCGACAUAAGAGUCGGCAGGCCAGGAAGCUCGGCGGCGGGGCUGGAAGGUCGCCGGCGCAGGACGCUUUUCGAGAGGCGCGACAUAANGUAAUAAUUUAUUUUCUGUAAUAAAUUAUUUUAUAUAAUUUUUUUAUAAUACAUGUAAUAUGAAUAAAGUAUAAUACUAACAAUAUCCUUAUAAUAUUUUAAUUAAUAAUAUUGUAAAUUUCAAUACAAAUAAAAAAAUAUAUAUAAUAUAUGAAAAAAUAAUUUUUUAUAUAUAAUACUCAAUAUAAAAUAUUAAAAUAUAAAUGAUAAAAUUUAUAAAAUAAAUAAUAUAUCAAAUUUAAUUAAUUUAUUUAUAUAAUAAAAUUUAAGUAUAACCGACCGUACUUAAAGCGAGUGGCAAAAGACUCGAUGGUUGGUACCGAGGUCCCAAAUUCAAAUCCUAAUUGAUUCACAUUUCCAGCUAAGUUUAUUUCUAAAUGAAAUAAACGAAACGGAUAGCUUGCUAUCUAUUUCUCAGAAAAAAAAAUUUAAGUACUUUAAUCAAAACAAUCCGUUUCCCUAGUUCUGCUGGCGUUUGGCUAUAAAUUGGAGAAUAUCUUCUUCUGUUCCGGAAUAUCCCUCGUGCCAAAUGCACUCUCUAGAAAGUUACUAAAAAGUCUUAACUAUGUAUGAUCUACACGCAUUUAUUCAAUGGAUGAAAUUUUUUUAAUGUGAUAAGUAAAAGAAUCCCAUCUAUUGAAUGAAUAAUUGGUGUAAAUUGCAUACUCCCAAACUCGGUGUACGGAUAAACUUUUUUGAAUUUAUAAGUGUACAUAUAGUAUUGAUUUUUUGUGAUAGUGAAACAUAAAAAAAGGUUUAAAUUUAUGAAUUGAGACUCUCUCCAUUUUUAUUUCUUUAGAAUAAAGUAAUUUUAGUUAAAAAAAAGUUUUAUCAAUUUUAUUAAAUUUAUUAGUAAUUUUACCAAGUUUAAUAAUUGCAAUUAUUUUUUAUUAAAUAAAAUUAAAUUAAUUAAUAGUUAAUAAUUAAUAGAGUUAUUAACUUCUAUAAAAUUGUAACUAAAUUCAGCAUAAAUAUUUAAAUAAGAAAUUGAAAAAAAAAUCCAAUUAAGAAAAUAAUUGAGGAGGCUAUUUCAGAAUGACCUAUAAUUGAGAAGCUUUUUAGAAAAAGCUACAAUGCUAUCGAUAAUUGAGGAAUAAUAUUCAUUAUUAUUUAUUUUUUAUCUCUUAGAUAUAUAAAAUUUAUUACUUGGUGGUGCAUUAUUAUGAAUUUGAGGGACAAAAAUUUAAUAGCAAACAUUAUCUAUUUAUUAUCAAUAAUAAUAUGCUUAGAGGGUAAAUCAAUCACAUACCAAAAAAAGUUAUUUCAUAAUUAAUAAAGAGGUGUUUGGUUUCUCCAAAAACUCUAAAAUAUUAUUUUUUGAGAAAAGAGUUUAAUAAACAUAUUUAUUUUUUCAAUAAAUUUAUUUGAAUACAAAAUAAAAAUAAUUUUUUUUAAACUUAAAAAUUUACAGAAAUUAUGUUAUUGUAAAAAUUUAACAAAUAAAAAAAUAUUUUUUAACGAGAAAACUAAUUUUUGUACCGAAAAUCUUAAAUUACAUUUUAUCUUUUAUUUCAAAGUGUUUUUUUUUUAAAAAAAUAGAUAGUAUACUAUCCGCUUCAUUUAUUUAAUUUAAAAAUAAAUUUAAUUUAAAUAUAAAUUAAUUUAAAUUUAAAUUUAAAACUUCGGAUAUAAACUAUCAAAUUUUUUUUGUCAAUUUCACUCACAAGUCGGUUUUUAUUUCGAAGUGUCAAAAAAAAAAAAAAAAAAAAAAAUCAGUCGCGGAUAAGGAAGAGUAGAAACCGUAGCCACUGUAGAAGCAGCAGCGCCAAAAAAAGAAAAAGAAAAAAAAAUGAGAGCUUCUCUUCUCUUCCUCACCUCUUCGCCCUCUCUCCUCUCCUCUCCCAUCUCCUUCUCCCCAACACCCUCCACUCCCAAAACCCUAAACCCUAAACCCCACCACCCACUCCUCCUCCUCCUCUACCCUCCCCCUCUCCCCGCCGCGCUCCCACCCCCGACACCUCCACGGCCGUGGCUGCGCCGCCUCCGCCGCCGCCGCCGGGAUUUCGCCGCCGGAGCCGACGACGACGACGCGGAAGCGGGCGCCGGCGACGACUACGACGUGGGGGACGAGGACGAGGUGGAGGAGCUCGACAACAAGAAGGACUACGACGUCGAGUACGACCGCCUCCUCGGCCCCCCCAUCUCCGCCGCGGCGGCCGACGCCGAGGCCUCGCCGGACGACAUAGAGAUGGUGCCCAGCGAGAGCUUCGUCUCGACGCAGGGGUGGGAUUCGGAGACCGUCGUGGAUUACCGGAUCAACGAAGAGGAGUUCCACAAGAUCAGCCUCUUGCAUUGCGAUUUUUUCAUCAGGAAGCCACCGGAUCCUGAUGAUAAUGUCUAUGAUUUCAGGGAGGUGAGCUUUCCCAUGGUUCUGCUUCUGCUUCUGCUUCUGCUUCUUCUUUCCGCAGCAGCAAUUUAGUACAGCAUUUGGUAACUAGUAGAAAAGUUUGAAGCUUCUGCCGCAGCGGGAAGGAAAAAUGUUAUUUUGAGCCUUAAAACUAUAAGCUCCAAUUUGUUACUUCUGCUUGCGCCACACAAAAAGCUAAUUUUGGGUAUAUUAAUAGAGUACUUCUUUCUAGUAGCAUUACUACUCAGAAGUACUUUGUCAAACAAUACUCUCUUAUCCAUUUUAGCUGCUUAAAUUAGUUAAUCGUGUGUGGAUGUCCUAAUAGAUCUCUUUGUGGCAUUUAUACAAACAGAUGUACGUUACUCCACCGGAUACAGAUGUGUACUCUAUUCCGAGGGUUCUCGCUCCAAUGCCACAGAAGGUAUCUGUUUUUGAUUUAUUGUUGAACAUUUCAAACCAGAUUCCAAAUUAGCAGAAUUGUUCAUCAUCUGUUUUCCGGUUUAGUUUGAUUAUUGAGAUUUUGGUUAUAAAGUUAAUCAUGAUACUUUGUUCGAUGUCAGUACAUUCGCUGCUCGAAGAGUAACUUUGGAUGCUACAAUGUUACGGAGCCGCCCAUCGACGCACCUCGAGAUCCAUUAUAUAAAACCGACAGGGAGAUCUUGAAGGUAUAAGCUUAUCUUUGUACGUCUCGAUUUAUCUCAUUAUGAGCUUUUCGUCAUAUAUUACGAAAUAUAUUGGCGUUGUUGAUUGAUGUGUUGGAACUUUUUUUGAUUCCAUAUUUAUAUCUUUCUACUUACAAGCUACUAAGUGAGAUGAAAGAAUAUGUUUAUAAGUAAUGGUUGAAAAGAGCGUAGACCAGCAAUAAACAAAGUAUCAUGUGUAACCUUGCUUGUUUAGCGAGUUUCUAAUAUGUAGUAAUGUAAUUUGCAUGUUCUCUGAUGCUAAAACACAGUAAUAUUUUCCAGCUGAAAAUAAGGCCUAGAUCUAAUUUCAACCUUGCACUAAAAAGGACCGUCUGUUUUACAAUUUCCUGUUUAAUUAAUCAUUGGAGUUUCUAAUAUGUAGUAAUGUAAUUUGCAUGUUCUCUGAUGCUAAAACACAGUAAUAUUUUCCAGCUGAAAUUAAGGCCUAGAUCUAAUUUCAACCUUGCACUAAAAGGACCGUCUGUUUUACAAUUUCCUGUUUAAUUAAUCAUCUUCAAUUGUGCCCUUUUUUUGUAGGUUUUCUUAACAAAACAUUACAGAAACAGGCGAAUAAGUGAUGGAGAGUUCGUUCUUGAUUUUGAGGAAAUUUAUGUUAUCGACUCAAAAACAAAGUCUAUUACAAGAGCCAAAGUUCUGGUAUGAUAUUCAUCUAAGGCAGUAAGGUUGCAGUUCUUCCGGUGCAUAAUAGUUUUGUGGUAUCUUAGUAUGAUGUAAGCAUGAAUAUGGGUAGAUCUUUUUGCUGUCUGCCUCAAUUUUAUGUAGUGUUACAGGUUCAAAAGUUAUGCACCAGUACUUACACGUAAUUUUGGUAGUUACUGAUACAAUUACUCCCACCUUUAAUCAGUGAUAGCUUCUCUAAGGAUUCAUGCACAUUGCCAUCAUUCAUCCCUUAUAUUUUUACCUCAAAGUUUCUCUGGUGUGUAUGGGCCUCGACCACUGUGUAUAUUUAUCUUUUAGCCUUACUUGUUUUCGAUUUAUUACAACAGGUCACUGUCCCUGGAGGGAGGAACAGGGAUAGAAGAAAUGACUUGCUAAUCAUCCGUGAUGGCGGAACCUCUUUCAAAAUAAUCGACAAAGUAAUGAACUGCUCAACAUCUUAUUUGAGCUAUUAGUUUCCUUUUCUUGUACAACAAUAAUUCCGUGCAAUUGAUUUCAGAGUCAGAGGGACGAUCCCACGACUGUUAUAGAACGAGAAGAGUGGGUCAAGACGAGGCAGGAAAUGGAGAAUCAUCUCCGGAAGCUUCGCGACUUCAGCGUCUCAAAUUGGUUUUAAAUUAUGUUUUCUGAGUGGAAUUUGUAGGUGAACUUGUUUGUAUAGCUUCUGUAUAAGCAAUUUGUAGCCAAUCUCUUGAGCUGAUUAAGUUCUUGUAGCCUCUCCAAGGUUAUUAUCUGUUAUAAAAUUAUCUCUCUCUCUACCCUGUGGCUUCAGAGGUAUGCUAUUGCCAUGACUUGUUUUAAAUAAUGAGUAUUCAAAGUAGUGUGUUUGUUAAGUGGAUGUGUUACACAAAAUACUCUUUUCUGAUUUAUUAUUGCGGCAUAUUGUUUGUUCAAUUGCAGUGUGUUGGCUUAAUUUUGGCCCCUUUGGGGACUGGUGUUGCUUCUUAGCUGAAACUGUGAAUCAACUAGAAUUCGAACUUGAAAUCUCAGAUAUCAAUUACCAAAUCUUUUAUCACUUGCGUUAUGAACGUUGUUGUUCUAUUACUUCUUGAAUUUUUGAUGCGUGGCGUCUUAGUGGAACUAUUUGAGUGAUUCAAACUUGUGAAUUUAUUGUGGGAGGAACUCUGUUUCUAGACAUAAGAGAACAACUACGCCCAAUAAUAUCCUUUUAAGAAUAUAAUUAUGAUUUAUAUAAUUAAUUUUUUGAUUUUAGGGGCUCCAAAAAUAGAAACUUUUUGAAAUCAGAGUUUUAAUUUAAAAAAUUUAUAAAAAUUUAUUUGCUAUUUGAUAUCUUUACAAAAGAUGUUAGGAAAUAAACACAUUUUUUAUUUUAGGGAGGGGAGCUAAAAUUAGGUAGAAGUUGAGGGACUAGCGGUGCAAUUUACUUUUAAAAGUCCGUAUAAACAAAAACACACGUAAGAUUUGUGGAAGGAAUACGACACUGAUUCGAUUUUACUCCACCCUCUCACGCAUAUCUCUCUCUCCCUCUUCUCCUUUUAUCUCUCGUGUCCUGUGUCCUCUAAUUGUAGUGGCUAUACGCGAGGGGAUAGUUCUAGAAGGUUCUCGUGUGGGGGCGAUCGAUGGGGUCUCCCGCCACCACCUCCGCCGCCGCCGGGAGGUCGCCGGAGAGGAUGGCGGCGGACUUCGUGAUGGGCGGCGCCGCCGCGGUGGUGGCGAAGAGUGCGGCGGCGCCGGUGGACCGGGUGAAGCUCCUGCUCCAGAACCAGGGGGAGAUGGUGAGGAGAGGGUACCUGAAGAGGCCGUACACGGGGAUCGGGAAUUGCUUCGCUAGGGUUGUGAGGGAGGAGGGUGUGGCCGCGCUGUGGAGAGGGAACCAGGCCAACGUCAUCAGAUACUUCCCUACGCAGGUCGAUUCGAAUUAGGGUUUCGUAAUUUUUCUGCUUCGUGAUCGAUUGAUCGUCGCUAUGCUCUAUUCUUGGAUUAUUUGGUUCAAUUGGAUUGUAUGUGGGAGUGUUUUCUGAUUUAUUUUGUUUAAUUUGAUGGAUUAAAUACGUUUUAUAUUUUGAAUUCCUAGAAUUUUAAUUGAUGGUGUUCUCGUGUUGCAAUUACUCAUAACUAUAUAUAUAUAUAUAGAAUUAUGCUACUAUACUAUCAAUAGUACCAAGCCCUUGACGGUACUAUUGAGUUUUCAGCCGUUGGAUGAAAAGAUGUGCGGUUAGGAUGAUAGUGGUCCCCGAUACAGAGUAUUAGAAAUUCGGGUUAAAAGUUGGCAUGCCAUUGCUUUGUUUGUGACUUUUUAAAUUUAUUGCGACUUUGAAUUGUACCAAUAUUGUCGGCUAGUAGUACAGAGGAUGAUAUAAUGUUUAUUACUACAGAGGUUGAUAGUUGGAAUGUUUAUUGGUGGGUAUGAGAUUAUUUAUUUAACCUGAUGUUCAAAAGGUCAUUACUAAUCAAUUGUAACUUGAAACUUAUAAAUUGUCAUUUUGGGCUGAAAGAAUGAUAUGCACAUCUUAGUAUAAUCGAGAGCUCUUCUUUUGUUCUGAUUAUAUAAGAACAUAUUUUUUGUAAUUUCUACAUCUUGUUGUUAUAUGUUGUACCUGAAGAUAUGAUCAAUGUCUUCCUUAGAAAGGUUGGAAUAUUCUUCUCCCUUUCAAAUUAGUUUGGUCUCUUGAAAUCACUGCAGUUACUCUCUUUCCAUGAUUCUUUCCAUGAAGUUUCUACUUUGAUACAAUAUAUAUUUGAUUUACAUUAUUUAUUGUCGUGUUUGUUCUGAAUAUUUUACUUUUAAUACAAAUCUGGAGAUGUUAAAAGUUGAUAUAUAUAUAUUUUUCCUGUAUCUUUCCAUAACAGGCAUUUAACUUUGCAUUUAAGGGCUACUUCAAGAGCUUCUUUGGUUGUUCAAAGGAGACAGACGGACGCCUGAAAUGGUUUGCAGGAAAUGUAGCUUCAGGUAGUGCUGCAGGAGCUACGACUUCGUUAUUGUUGUAUCAUCUAGAUUAUGCACGAACCCGCCUAGGCACUGAUACAAUUGAACGGCAUGGUAAUAACCAACGCCAGUUUCAAGGUCUAACCGAUGUGUACAGGAAAACCCUAGUGAGUGAUGGUGUUGCCGGAUUGUAUCGAGGUUUUGGAGUCUCGAUUGUGGGCAUUACUCUGUAUCGGGGCCUUUAUUUUGGUACCUAUGACACCAUGAAGCCUAUCAUUUUGGUUGGACCUUUGGAGGUAAACCCAGCUUUCUUUUUCAUGAAAUUAUCAACUUGAGAUUUCUCUGUUCGCUCAUAGAUUUAUUGUAGUGUUAUAAAAGAAGAUUAGUUUGUGAAAACGAACUGGAAAGAUGCUGGAAGACUUUUGCAGUAUCCUCCAUCCGCAUCGUUGUAUUGAAGAUUGAGACUUUUUUGAGACGAUCUGAUUCUUCUCAGAUUGUUUUUCACUUGAUACUUGCAUUUUGCACAUUAAACAGAGUAAAUUUGAUAUUCGUUCCUUGUGAUUGAUCAUUCAUUUUAUUUGCUUAAUAUAAAUUAGUCUAAAAAUGUCUCUUUGUUAUCUAAUGAAUAUCUCUUAAUAUUCUUAUCUAGCAUGUAGCAUAUUUAAUUUUAAAAGAUUGAAAAAUCAUCUCGGUCUUAUGAUGGCAUGGUUUGUCAAAACAAUUAUGUUAAAUGCGUCUGAAAAGAAGCUAUGAUAUGGGGAUCUUUCUGAAGCUUUCGCCACCUAUGCUGAAAAAUUUAUUACGUUUACUUGUCGUUGUACUGGUGAAUUUCUUUAGCCUAUUAUCUUUUGUAUAUGCUGUUAUUGCAACUUGAGUAGUUGUAUGUAGGAAAAAUUUGUGUUAGUCUCCGAAGAUUUUACAAGCCAAUCUUUGUUUAUGAAUGCCUAUAUUUUACGGUCUCUUAAUGUUAGUGGUUUUGAUUGCUGUUUUAGGGGAACUUCUUGGCGAGUUUUGCACUAGGGUGGAGUGUGACCACAUUUUCGGGAGUAUGCGCAUACCCGUUUGACACACUCCGCAGAAGAAUGAUGUUAACAUCCGGGCAGCCUUCCAAGUAUAAGAACACCUUUCAUGCCUUAAAGCAUAUUAUUUCCACAGAGGGGUUCUUUGCACUGUUUAGAGGAGUUACUGCCAACAUGCUUUCUGGGAUCGCAGGAGCAGGAGUGCUCGCUGGGUUUGAUCAGCUUCAUCGUUUUGCCGGCAGGCAUGGUUUUGGUCUCGAGGCCCAGCUGAGAGGAGGGUUGAAAUGAUUGUGUAAUACCGGAAGCGGCAAAAUUCUAUUUCCAUUAUUAACGGUGUGCGGAACCAAGAAGAAGAUACUUCUGUCGAGCUUCUGCCGUACAUAAGGAGCUGAGGAGGAUUCUCGCACUGUAGAGUAGGAACGUGUACAUUUGAUUUUGUAAAAUAAUGGUCGGCACUUGAUUCUUGUUUCACUUAUUAUUUGUAAGACACAAGUGUAAAUAGAAUUUUUUUUUUUUUUUAAACUUCUCUCCUCUUUGCCUUUUUGCUCUGUUUAGAUUCUUUUCAUUAGCAUACUGCAUUUCUUUUAUGACUGCCAGAUGAAAAUAAUUGAGUAUAUAUAACUGCGUAUGUUAAUGUUCUUUUUCUGUAUGCAGAAAUUGAUUUAUUCAAUUGCACACCUCUGAUUAUUCACAUUUGCUACUUAUGAUUACUACUAUCAUUGUUUCCUUUUUGAGUUUUUAGGCCAUGAACAUCACCAAUCUCAUGGAAAUAGAUUGAUCUGUGUUAUUGUAGAGAGCUGUAAACUUUUCAUAUUUACACGAGUGAAUACUUUUAACUUCAUGAGUAAAGAUACUUGUGCAAAAGCUACUUGGUUUGUACAAAGAAAGAACUGUUAAUAAAUUUUGGAUCUACCUUUUGAACACUUUCUCAUCAUUGAAUUAUCUAAAGGGACAUGGGUAGAAUUGUUUGUCCACAACCAGAUAGAGGAGUAGAGACGCAGUAGGAGAACACAUAAAAGAGUUCCUGAAGUGUUGAUAACAAGACGGUAAAACUGGAAGAGAAAAUGAAGCAUCCUAAACACGAACUCGUUUCAAACAGGGCAUAACCUCUGAACCUGGAAUAGCUACAGUACAAGAUAACUGUUGAGUAAUAUUCCUAGAAGAAGCCAAGCACAUGCUGAAACCCACCGUCUGUCCGUGGCCAUUUCUUGUCUCUUUUAUUUCAUCAAUCCUGCCAACCUUCACCAUAUUUUUUGAGACGGAACACAAUUAUCGACGUUUUGUAUAUGUUCUUCUGUACAUUUUCUGACCCUAUUAUCCUGAUUUCUGAUGCCUGACUAAUUUGCUAUCCAAAAAUGUCCUCUCUUUGCUUGCAUCCUUCAUUUCCUCAUUCCAGUGCCAAAGUAUCUGCUUACACAUAUUUGGGCAGUCAGAAGAAUACUGCUGAAGAAUGGAGCUUUAAAUGGAUGAGUAGGAUCACUUCAUAUAAUACAGGGGUUAAAAAGUUUUAUGGAGAGUUUGGAUUAGAACCAAAGUGGUGCGAAAUUUUGAUUGGCAAGAUUCAAAACAGCAUAAAAAAAAUUGAUUAUUUUUUCUAUUCACAUAUAGAACAGCCAAAUCAAUCAGAUUCGUCGCUCUACUGUUAAAUUUGUAUGUGAAAUGGAGGAUUGCAAGUUCUGAAGACGAUACAAAUUUCGAGUUAGCAUGAUCUGCAACUAUAAACUACCAUAUGGAAGGAGGGAAAAUAGAUAUGCAAAUGUCAUGAUUUUUUCUUUAGUCUCCUUCUAAUUUAUGGCGGUGGAUUCGCACAAGCGUAUGCGUAUAUUUGCUCAUUAAUGCAUUUGUCCUCGUAAACUUGUCCUUACGCAUCGUAACGCCGCACAUCUGUGAGGCCUUUGAGCCAGAGAGUCACUUGUAACAUGUAAACAGCUUACUUAUGGUUUGCUUUGGAUUUUACCAAACAUCACAACAGUACAAUUAAGUUAGAAAUUUUGCGGAGUCCAGAUGAAUUGUAUGUAUCCAAUAUGUUGUGUUCAUACUGGAAUAGAGGUAAACUCAUGUCUCAUAUUUUUCACACUUUAACAUCAAUCAACCUCUAGUUCAUACUGGCUUACAAGAAACCACAUAUCAUGUUUAUAACCACAACAAUCUCAAUCCACAUUAAUUGCUCUUCUUACAAGUAUCUUUGUUCCUUAAAUACAUCGCCGAGCUGUUCGUAAUUUUCUCAUCCAGGGCCCAGAAAAUUCUCAUCAUGCCUUCUUCCUCUCUCCAUUGGCUGAGUUUGGUUGCAACCAUCUGGCUCCAAACCAUCAAUGGACCAAAUUCUGAUUUUGCUGUCUACUCGUCGCAGCUCAAAGACAUAAAACACUUCUCCCAGGUUCAGCUCAACAUGCUUGCUUUUGCUUCUGAUGCAGGGAAGCUCUUCGGCUGGUUCUCCGGAAUCGCAGCCAUUUAUCUCCCACUAUGGCUUGUUUCAGUAAUCGGCGCGGCUUUCGGGCUCGUCGGUUACGGCGUCCAGUUUCUGUUCCUGGAGAAUCCUAAACUCUCCUACUGGCAUCUCUUUCUACUAACUUCUCUAGCAGGAAAUGGCAUUUGCUGGAUCAACACUGUUUGCUACCUCUUAUGCAUCAGAAACUUCCCUUACGACCGCCGUGCUGCCGUCGGGAUAUCGACAAGCUACGUGGGGCUAAGCGCGAAGGUCUACACGGUCGUGGUCGACGCGAUCUUUCGCCCGAAGGAUAACUCCACAGCUAAGUCAUAUCUCCUCCUCAAUGCCAUAUUCCCCUUGCUAGUUACCCUACCAGUCUCGCCUUUCCUCCGAGUGUUCGACGCUGAAACUCGAGUAAGAUUGAGUACUGGGUUUCUCGCCUUAUUCGUUAUCACAAUAGCAACUGGGGUCUGCGCAAUUGUGGGCAGCAUUGGGUCUGCUUCAACUGGCCUUUCUUCGCGACAUCUUAUGCUGAGCCUGGCAAUUCUCUUGCUUUCUCCUGUGAUUCUGCCUCUGGUUGUCAAGCUUAGAGAGAGAGCCAUAACUGUAUGGAAGGAUAAGAAGGAGAACAGAAUCCAUGAUCUGACACUAGACGAGGUAGAAGCAGGGGAGGGAUCUGCAGCAGAAGUUGAGAUGAAGGAAGAAGAGACGAACGAAGUCGGCACAGAAGAAGGGAGGGAAGAAGUUGGUGGCCUCAAGAUGCUGAGGAAGGUAGACUUCUGGCUCUAUUUCUUCGGUUACAUGUUCAGCGCGACGUUAGGAUUGGUGUUUCUGAACAAUCUGGGGCAGAUAGCGGAGUCUCGCGGACUCACUGAUGCUUCUUCAACUCUGGUCUCGUUGUCGUCGUCGUUCGGUUUCUUCGGCCGCCUCGUCCCUUCCUUCUUAGACUACUACUUAUCAAAGUAAGUUCUCUAUCUAUUCUAUCAAAUUCUGAAACAGAUAGUCUAUGUAACUGCUAUCUAACUGCUAUCUAACUGCCACAAAAGUGAUUUUUCGACUUCUCAUACGACCAUUGUUUUGGCUUUUUCGUCUUAUCAACAAAACAGCCUCUAUGAAAAGGGUAUGCUGAUUGCAACAUGAUACAAAGUUUAUGUGGUUGCAACCGCUACUGCAGUUCAUCACCUUUAUGCAUUUAUAGAAGUUGGUAGCCUCAUAACUAACUUUUGUAUUACUAAACUUUAUUGUUAUUAUCUCCUUUUGAUUUAUUCAGAGCCGGUUAUGCGGCAUCGAGAUCGGCGUCGAUGGCAGCAUUGAUGGCCCCGAUGUCGGGGGCCUUCUUCAUGCUUCUGGCCCCGCGGCCGUCCUUCUUGUACGUCGGCACGGCCGUUAUCGGGGCAUGCACGGGGGCAAUCACAACGAUCGCCGUCUCGGCGACGACCGAGCUGUUCGGGACGAAGCAUUUCGGCGUGAACCACAACAUCGUCGUAGCGAACAUUCCGGUUGGCUCUCUGAUCUUCGGCUACUUCGCUGCUUUUGUUUACGAGAAGGGAGCUGAUGGUGAUUACAGUUGCUUCGGCACCCAUUGUUAUAGCAAAACGUUCGUCGCCUGGGGCUCUACUUGCUCUCUCGCAACUCUACUAUGUACAAUUCUAUAUUUUCGCUCGCGCAAAUUUUCCGUAAGAACUACUUAAAAAGUAAUCAAUAUAUAUAUAGCUAGGUUACCAAUAGUUUUGAGUCUAAAGAACUGGUACGUUUACUUGUUCGUUUGCUUAUACACCACCAUAGCUCCUGUGCUUUUAAAAGCAUCAGAACAUUCAUGCUUGUGAGUUUUUUUUAACUGUCAGAUCAGUUUAAGAUUCGUGCAGCACUAUUAAUGAUGUAUCCCGUUAAGCCUUCUUUAUUAGUACUGCACAAAUCAUAAGGUGAUUCGACAGCUCAAAAAUUACAAGCAUAGAUGUUCUUGUGCUUUUAAAAGCACAAGAGCAAAGAAUAGACAUACAGUAUCUUCUAACUUUCCUCUUUUGUCGAGAUAUUAUAGGAAAAGCUCAUGUACAACAGUUAAAUCAUAAGGAAUUUAAUUAAUAAUACUGAGCAUAUAUUGUGAAGAACUUCUCAUUAUUUUGUGUUGUGAAUAUUUAAUUCUUAUUCGCCAAAUAAGUUGAGGAAAUUUAUGGUGUUUGAAAGGUUACAUUAACAGCACAAAAAUAAGUAUCUUAAGUUUUUUUUUACCCCAUCUUUUUCCAUAUUUGUCCAGUUAAUUUAUAUUCCUAGGUAUCGAACAUGUGGCUGUUUUGGUAUCUUGUGGCCUAUUUGGUUUGGUUUCAAUUUAACCGGAUCCAAUUGAAUAUGUAGUUUGAACGUUUGGUGCAUCUUGGAUUCUAUUAAUAUGAUGUGGACUAGAAACGAACGCUUACAUAAGAGACGAUAAAUUGACACAACCAAGAAUUCAAAUCCUUCUUUGCCACUAAAGUUUGUAGCCACUAAUUAAAAGUCGUAACUGUCACACAAUAAGAUAACAACCAAUCUCACACACACUCUCUCUCUCUCUAAAAUAGUUUGUGGUUUCCAUGUCUAGCCCUUUCAAAAUCAUUCUCCUUCACUUUCUUAAUAAUUAAGACGAUUGCUACUUUAGUUUCGGUUUGUUGGUUUGCAUUUAUUUUUAAAUUUAUUUAAUUAUAGUUGUUUUCUAACCGAGCAUCCGCAAAUUAACAAAGCAAAAUAUAAUUUUUUGAGGUCCAAAAAACAGUAAUUUUUGUUUGGAGCUUCGAAUUUUGCUGUGCAAAAAAAAAAGCAUAUUUAUUGGAUCACACCGUAAGAUGAACAAUGUUUUACACAUCUGUUAUAAAAGAAAGAUAAAUGAAAUGAUUCGAACCAUCAAAACAUGGAAGUUUUUCCUUACGAGACGUUAUUAGUUGGAAACAAGCAAAUGAGUUGGUGUCAAAUCACUUUAUGUUGAGAACAUCUCUACAAGUAAUCUAGCUAUCGCUAGUAGGGAUUCUCUGCUUGCAACUUAAUUAAACUUAAAUAUUUUGGACCAGUAACUUAAUCUUCAUAACCUAAUUUGGUUUGUAAUGGAUUUUUCAAGCGCUUACAAAGAUUCGAAUUUAGAAUAUUCAGUGUUAUAACCGUAUAAAGAGAUUAUUUUCUUCGAGUUUAAGCCAUGAAAAAAUAGUGUUCAAUUUAUUCAUCAAUAGCGAACUAUAUAUUCUCAAAUUAAUAAGAAUACAUGAAAUCAAAGUAACUAAGAUUACACAUACCAAGUUAAACUUGACAACCAGUCACCUUGGUACUUGACAUAGUACUUUGAGAACACCUUCUAGUUCUAAAGUACAAAACAAAGCUCAAAAGUGUUCCAAGUGAGCAAAAGGAACCCCAUAUAACAAAAGUUCUCUGGUAACACUUCAUCCCAAAACACACCCCAUCCUGAUCUCCCCCAUGAUGCUCUCGUUCUUUGUCGUAGAUAAUAGCCGCAAUACAUCCGAAAAUGAACGAUCCGAUCGGUAUGUUCGCAACCACGAUGUUGUGGUUAACGGCGAAAUGCUCGAACCCGAAUAGGUCGGAGGUGAUCGCGACGGCGAGGGACGUUAUCGCGCCCGUGCACAUGCCGAUGAUGGCCGUGCUGGCGAAGAGAGAGUGCUCAGAAGGGCUCAGAAGCAAAAAGAAUGAGCAAGCCAUGGUCAUCAUCAGUAGUGCAACUGAUCCUGGCCUUGAUAACAUAUAUUUUCUCCUGUUUAAUUUGAAGCCAACACAAGGAUUAGAAGUGGUAAUAUGUAUUGCACUUAGCACAUAUAUUAAACUAAUAUUAUGGAGUAAAAUCCAAAAAUAUAUAGGAAAAAAAAAUGAUGUAAUAUAUUGAAUCUAUGGUUCGCAUUUAUAUAUUUUCCUUUUCAUACUCAUUAAUCAUAUUUAAUGUAGUACAGGACAGGUGAAUACAAAGAGAAAUUAUUGAGCAAACCUAAACCUAGUGUAUACUAUGCCAUGCACUGAGAAUAGUUGCACCUGUUAGUUUAAGUGGAAAUUAGUAAAGCUAAUUAAUACAAAUUAAGAAACAAAAUUUAAACUCUCAUGCAUAUGUAUGUGUUGCAUGUUAACUUGACUUGUCAAUUAAUCUAAUGCUUAACAAAAAAGAAUGAUUUAUAGAAAAUUUUUCUCGAAAUGCAAAAAGGUAAAUGAAUUUUAAAAUGUUAAUUUAAAUUUAAAUUAUAUAAAGAACUCGUGGUUGGUGGUAUAUGAACAGAUUUACUGGUACGUGUUGACUAUGUGGUAGAGGGAGUGCCACGUAGGCUCGAUAUUUUCUGUUACGUGGCAUCGUAGUAUAAAAGGUGACGAAACAAGUAGAGUGUUCAUUAAUUCGUCAAUGAGUUGACCGAGGUUUCUUUUCAAGUCCAAAAUUUGGUCGACCACAUUAAUUAGAAUUAAUCCGAAUGAUUCGAUCAGAUGAUGCAACAUUGUUGCAUGCAUGACGAAAUGAAAUUUACCUCAAAUAGUUCUAUAAUAUAUGUAAGAUAUAGGGAUAAUUUCAUCAAUACCCCUUUGAAAAAUCAUAAUUUCAUGAAUAACCUUCUAAACUAGAAAAUAUCAUCAAUACCCCUCUUAAAAUAAAAAAUGUUCACAGAUACCCUUUAGGUUCACUUUCCGUCAAGUGGUCAUCCAAUAUUUUAUAAAUACCAAUUUUACCCCUAACAACAUUUUAAAUAUGUAAUAUUUAAGAUUAAUUAUCUGAUCAAUUUUUAACAUUUGAAUCACAUAAUAAUUUAACAUUAUUUUUAAAAUAUUUCAAUUAAAGAUCUAUAGUCUAUUAAGUUUAAUAGCUAAAUCUCAUUAUGAUUUUUCGCUUUUAAAUUAUACAUAGUUAUAAUGCAAUUUGUCCAUAAUAGAAUUCAACAUUAACUAUUUAAAGAUUUAUUUUUAAAAAUAUUAUUAAAAUAACUCACAUAUCUCAUGCUAAAAAUAUUUUGAUAUCAAAAUUUUCGAUAUUAGAGUAUUACUUAUAUGAUUUGCUCAAACAAAAAAUUUUAUGAAAUUGCCCCUUAAUUAUUUGCUAUCAAAAUAACACCUAACCUUUUUAGGGCUAAAUUAGUCAUUUUGUAACUCAACCCUUAUUUAACCAAACUUUAACCAUGGUUAUAGUAACAGCCGUUAGAAGGAAGGACAAUUGUGAAAAUUUUUUGCAUUUGAAGGGGUAUAUAUGAUAUUUUUAACUUUGCAGGGGUAUCUACGAUAUUUACAUAUUUGAGAGGGGUAGUGAUGAAAUUGCCCCCCUAAGAUAUAAUAGGGUUAAAACUCUUAAUCCGACUUAAAUAUUUUGGAUGGUUGUUAGGCUCAAGAGAUUAAGAGAGAUUAGCGUGUUAGGACGGAAGUAAUUCUAGAAUGGGUGACCCUAUAAGAAGUUGGGGUAUCACAGUUGGUAUCAUAACCAAUUACCAGCUGAAAGUAUAAGAUAAGUCUCGUCUAAGUCAUAGUUAUACAGCGGAAAGAGCGAGACUCUAAUAUUGUUGACUAUUGUGGAUAGACCGCAGUUUCCCCACAUCGCUCGGUACUUAUGAGUCUGAGCCAGACGUCAAAGUUUAGAGGGGAGAGAAUGUUAGACCCCAAAUAAUGGAAUUAAAACUCUUAGUUCGGCUUAAAUAUUUUCAGUGGUUGUUAGACUCAAGAGGUUAAAAAAGUUAAGCGUGUUACGACGGAAAUAUUUUUAUAAUGAAUGAUCCCUGAGACGUUGGGGCGUCACAGUUUAGCAUCUAAAAUCAAGCACACCUCCAAAAAUAUAGUGUAGAAUAAUAUUGUACUUCAAAAUAUAUUAUAUGUUUAAUAAAAGGGAAAACUUCAAAAACCCCUCAUGUGGUUUCCAACUUUCUCACUUUAGUACCUUGUGGUUUAAAGUGUAUCAAUUUGCCCCCCUGUGGUUUUGUUUUUAUUUUUUCUAUAGCUUUUUUCUUAAUAUUUCGUUAAAUUAUAUGCAAAAAAAAUCAGAUAUUCAUAUAGAUUUACCUAAUAUUUACUUUAGUACCCCUUAAUUUUAAUUUUGUCACUGAUUUGAGAAAAAAAAAUAAUAAAACUGAUAAAAAAAGAGAAAAACGAAACCACAAGGGAACAAAUUGAUACAUUUUAAACCACAAGGUACUAAAAUGAGAAAGUUGGAAACGGGGGGGCGGGGGAGUAUCCAAUAACUUUUAACAACAAAAUAUGUAAAAUUCAACCACAAAAUAUGUAAAUUCGAAAGAACACACUGAUAAACCAUCGCGUCAUCUAAUCCUGUGUUGUAUUUUGAUAUUUUAUUAUUUUUUUUUGUAAGUAAUAUAAAAUUAUUUUGUUAAAAUUUUGAUUUUAAGUGCGAUGCAAAAUUCCAACAUAGUCUCGACGAAAUAGUUUGUUACCAUAAUAUAAUGCUAAGGGAUAUUUUUAGAAUAUUGUUUUUGUACAAAAAUUAAUGCAUGAGCGAGUACACGUUGCCGAGUAAAUAGUUUCCCUAAUAUAUACUAAAAACAAGAAUGAGACUGUUAUAUAUUAUCCAUAAUAUCAUAGCUUCGGUAUUAUAGUCUCAUUUUUAAUUUUAGAUUAUUCAAAUCAACGAUCUACACUGUUAAAUAUAAUCUAGAAUAUAUAUAAUUCUUAGAAAUAAAAAUUUAAUUUUUUUUGACAUCGUUUACUACUAAGUAAAUCAUAUCAAAUUGAACGGUAAACUUUGAACAAUUUUUAAAGUUUGAGAAUAGAACUUUUGAAUUCAAGGUCUAAGAUUCUGACCUUGAACUGGAAAGUUUAAAGUAUUAUCUAUUAAAUUUUAAAUAAAUUUAGAUUUUUUUAUACUGUUAAAUUAUAAAUUCGCUAUAAUAGCCAUUAAAAAUUGAUAAUUUUGAAAUUAUUUGAUCACAAAAUAAACUAUAUGAAAAAAAUAUAAAAUUUUAUUUUUAAAAAUUUAAAUAUUUUAAAUUAAUUUUAACGAUCAUUCAUUCGAACGGUCUAAAAUAAAUAAAAAAAAACUAUAGUACGGAAAUCUUGGUACUACGGUAGUAUAGUACAGAAACCUACAGAAACCUAACUCCUGUAAACAAUGUUCGAAGGACUCUGGCCGCAUUAAUUGAACUUUGAUCCGACUAACGGUGUCCCGUACGUGCGGGCACGAAUCUCAAAGCACUCUCGGAUGACGCGAUCAUGAUGGCAUGAUGAUGCAACCAAUAACAAUAAACAAUAGCCCAAGCGCGCGACAAAUCAAAACACCACCCCCCAACCCGGAAAAAUUCUAGAAUGCAACGGAUAUAUUAGUGACGUGGCGUAACAAACCAAUCAAAUUAAUCCUUUUAAGAAUAUAUGUCCCAUCAUGAUUGUAAAAAAGUAUUUUUAUUUUACUUUUGUUUGAAAAGAAUGAAUGUGAUUGGCUUGUUAUUGAUGACGUGGUGCAAGUGUGACAGUGUAGAAUUGAUCUGAUUCAUUAAUCAACGGCCGCAUAGUCAUUUAUGCGUCGCGCUGCGUAAAAUGCGGUGGUACGUACCGGGCGUAUGCGGACGCGGGGGCGGAGGCGAGCUUCCCGAAGAAUCCGAAGGCGGAUGACGUGGACACGAGCGCCGCCGCCGAGGCCCCGCGCGACUGCGCCACCUGGCCCAGGUUGCUCGCAUACACCAUCCCCAGCGCACCCCCGCAUAGAUACGUCCCGAAGUACACCCAGAACUCCGCGCUCCUCACCAUCCCCCGCGCCCCACACUCCCCAACCAACGCCACCUUCUCCCCGUCGUCACCUCCUCCUCCUCCUCCUCCGCUCCUCCUCCCCCUCCUCUCUCCUCUUUCUCUCUCCUCCCCUUCUAUUCUCUGCGUUCAAUUAAAUUAAUUAAAAUAUAAAUAAAAAUAUAUAAAACUUUCAAAAAUAUUCUGCUUUCAAAAUUUGAAUAUACCGUUUAUCUUCACAGACUUAUUUAGUAUAUUUCGUAUACUUCUCACCAUUAUAGUUGUGCUAAAUUUUAUACAAAAUAAUAUAUAAUAUUAAUACAAUAUUAAUCGAUAGCUUCAACAGUUAUGCUAAAUUUUAUACAAAAUAAUAUAUAAUAUUAAUACAAUAUUAAUCGAUAGCUUCAACAGUUAAGUUAUCUGCAAACUGUUAAAAAUUCAGCUGUUUGGCAACUUUCCUAUACCUUCCACAGCGGCACUAGAACUAUCGACGCCACCAUGAUCAGCAGAAUCCCCGGCGGUAGCCGCCGCGGGAGUUUUCCGAACACCGGGACCGCCGUCUCCACCACCGCGUAAACUCCGGUCGCCCCCGCGAUCACGAACACGGCGACCAGACCUCCGCGCGUCCUCGUCGCGCCCGCCGCCGCCGCCGCCAGCGGGUCUGGUUCUCUGAGGAACGGCGCGGCGAUCGCGCAGACGGCGAGCGGCACCGCGGAGUUCAGCAACAAGUAGAUGCUCUUGUCACUGGGCUCCGCGCCUGUUGAAUAUAAAAUAUUAAAAUACCGUUCUCUUUAUAAAAAGGUACCUUUUAAGUUUUGAAAGUAACGAGUAGUAAUUUUGCAGUGCGUACCAAGUAUAAACUGUGCGAGGGCGAUGUACGUCUUCGCGCUCAGCGCCGCGUAGCUCGUCGAGAGGCUGACGACGGCCCCGUAAUCCGCGGGGAACGCGCGGAUGGCUGCGAUGUAGCACACGGUGUUGAUCCAGCAGAUGCUGUUCCCGGCGAGCACGUUGAGUAAGAAUACGUGCCAGUAUGCGAGUUGCGUGAUUUUAUGGGCCAAAAACAGGUACUGGAGCCCGUAGCCGACCGAGCCGAUGGCGGCGCCGACGGCGAGGACGAGCCAGAGGGGGAGCCGGGCGGCGCCGAGGCCGGCGCACCAGCCGAAGAGCUUCCCGACGUCGGAGGCGGCGGCGAGAACGUUCAGCUGGAUUUGCGAGAUAUGAAGCCGCGAUUUGAGCUCGCUGGAGUACGCCGGAAACGACGUGUUCGUGCCGUUGAUGGACUGGAGACAGAUGAUGGCUGCUAGUGUGAGCCAUGGAAGGAUACUAGGGUUUGAGCCUAGUAGUGUUGUUAGCUUGUUCAUGUAUUAUAAUUUAUUGGUUCCUUUUUUUUUUAAAUAAUUUUUUAUAUGGUGUUCCCCACCAUAUAUACGAGGGUUUUAAAGAAUUUUUAUAUUGUAUAAAAAGUUAGGAACUGAUCGAUCCUAGGACUGUUGUUGCUUUCUAGUUAUUGGCUCUAGAAGGGACAGUUAGGUUAUAUUAAGCGACUAUUGGUGGUACUUUUGUAAGAACAUUUUCUUGUUUAGUGAAUAGUUAGUGUCAAUUUUUUUUUUAAAAAAAAACACCAAUUGUUUUUUCUAAACGCUAAACUACCGGAUAAUGAUAUUUUUAAUUAUAGUUUUUAUAUUUAUAUUUUAACAUUUUUUCUGACCUCUGGAGAGUAACAUGAAUUAAAGAAUAAAAAAUUAAUAAUGCCAUCUCGAAAUUAAACCUUCUAUUUUCAUAUCAUUUUUUUUUUUAGAAAUAGAUAGCACGCUAUCUAUUUUAUUUAUCUUAUUGGGAAAUGUGAAUCAACUAGGAUUCGAAUUUGGGAUAUCGGGUAUUAAUCACCAAGCUCUUUGCCACUUGCUCCAGGACAGUCGGUUAUUAUUUUCAUAUCAUGUUAAAAAAAAUAUAUUGCUAAAAAAUGUAAGUUAUCAAAGAAUAAUAUUAAUUUCUGUUCAACAGCUAAAAUAUCAGUCAAAAAACACAGCUAAUAACUUAUCAACCAAAAUUGGCUGAGGUGAAAAAAACGUUUCUUAAAUGAUAUAUAACAUUGAAUCGUGCGAUAAACGACAUAUAUAAUAGGGAUAAUUUCAUAGAUGCCCUUCUAGGGACUAUUAAUUUCAUCAAUGCCCUUCUAAAACCGAUAAUAUUAUGAAUGCCCUCCAAUAUAUCAAAAAUUAUCAUAAAUACCCUUCACUAGUUAAGUUUGGUCAAAGUCCCUUUAAAAUAGAGUUAUAUUUUUAAAAUGCCAUUUUUACCCUUUAUCUCUCAUUAACAGUAGAAAUACUAAUAGAUAUUUCAAGACAAUUUCUAUAAACCUAAAUUUAAUUAUUUAAUAUACUAAAUAUUAAAUUAAAUUAUUAAUAUAUAUUAAUUAUUAAAAAAUAUAUAAAAAUUGUAUUUUAUAUAUAGUAUGUUUUUAUAUGAUUUUGGUUUUGUUUUCGGCUUCGGAUUUCGGUUCAAGUUUGGUUUAGAUAUAAAUCAAAACCAUAAUUGAGUUUGAAUAUAAUGUGAUUUUAUUUUUUUUGUAACUUUAACUGAAACUAUCCGUACUCAGUAUCGAUUAAGCUCACCCCAUUCAAAAUCGAGUUCAAAUAAAAUUGUGUACCUAUAUCAAUUCACAUUCCUAAUCAGUAAUAGUAAUUUUGAAAUAAAAGAUAGAUUUAAUUUUUUUUCCUAUUUAAUAAAAAAUAAAUCAAAUAACAAUAUGCAUGUAUUUUUUUGUCGACUAAAAAAAAGAGAGUUUUGUUCGUAGGCUAAAAUAUAUUAUAUUUUAGUUUUUUAAUGUAUUUAAUGGAGAAAAUUAUUGAGAAUAAUUUUGGUUAAAAAAAUUUUUAAGCUUCCAAUAUUAAAAAAAGAUAGGAAAAAUCCUCAACUUUUAUUUUUAUUUAAAUUUUUAUACAUAGUUAUUUACUUGCCAAAAUUUAAAUAGAGCCACUAGAUUUGGUAAAAUCAUCAAAAAAUUUGAUAAAAUUCUCAUUUUUCAUACACUAAAAUUAGUUAAUUUUUUAAAAAACUAAAAGUUAAUGGGUUGUCAACUAAAAUAAUAAAAGUUGAGGGAGCAGUUUCAAAAUGGCAUAUAGUUGAGAGGGUCUCCAUACAUUUUUUUGCUUAAGGCAUAGUUGAGGGCAAAUAGGUCAUUUUAAAAAUUAACCCAUCUUUAAUCUUUUAAUAACUAUAGUAAAGUUAAGAUAACUGACGGUAAGGGUAUUGGUGAUAAUUUUAAGUGUUUACAGGGGCAUAUGUGAUAUUUUAAACUUUAUAGGGGCAUAUAUGAUAUUUUAAACUUUGGGAGGGGUAUCUAUGAAAUUGCCCCAUAAUAAUAAUACGUUAAUUUCAUAAAUGUCUCUGCAAGUAUAGUUAAUAGCAAAAAUACCCCUAUAAAGUUUAACUUUCAUAUGUUAUUCCUGCAAAAGUCUUGAUAUUUUCAAAUAUGUUCCUGUCGUUAGAAUCCGUUAGAAAAAAAUAGUUAAUCAUAGGUUAAAUACUUAACCCUAGUUAGUUUUUGAUAUUUUUACUCUUUUAUAUUAUACUAGUAUGACUUUUGAAGGAAUAUAUUUGUGAUGACAAAAUUGAAAAUAUAAAUGGUUCUUUAACGGUUCUCUCACGGUAACAAACCAGAGAGACAUAUUUGAAAACAUUAGAACUUUUAUAGAAAUAAUAUAUGAAAGUUGAACUUUGUAGGAAUAUGUAUGAAAUUAACCCUACAAUUAAUAUAACCUCAAUUCUAAUGCAAAUAACGUGGCGGCCGGUGCGCCGAACAAGUAUUUUAUGAGCUAUUGCCUACAUCAUAUAUGUAGAGGUGCCUAAUCAUGGGUCACUUUCUUUAAGCCCAAUUGUGUGUGGGGUUUUGUUCCGUAAGGACAAUGUUCUUGUGGACAACAGAGGAGAGGAGGUGAUGGGCACUUGAUAGAUUAAUGGUAAAUGUGAUUCCCUAAUGAGAGAGAAUGAGAGAACAUUAGAAUAAGUUAAGAGGUGUGAUUGGAUCAUAGGGAGGCUAAGAUGGAUAGGGUCCACUAGUUCCUAUUUGGGGGGCAGGUGGAACAAAAAUUAUGUAGGAAGCCUCUCGGAGGGAGAUGAUCUAGCACAAAUGACAAAAAGCCUGAUAAUUGAUAUUCGAGAAUUAAAGUUCAAAACUUAAUUGCUUUAUAUUUUUAGUUAAAUUUAUUUCUGAAAAGAAAUAAAUCCAACACGCUUAAUCGCUUAUUCUCCCUAUGUAAUCUUUUUUCUAGUAGUUGAGUUGGUUGGCAUGCACAUGAUUUAUGAUAAGCGCACGAGUUUUAGAAUCUAUUUGACACUGAAAACUCCAAAUGUAGUGCUAAUGUGGACCGUGAAAAUUUGGUAAUAAGGACGGCGAAAAUUUGUUACCCCAACCAAAAAAACAAAUAAGUUAGGCCAAACGGACCCUUAGUCAGCAAAUUCAAGUCAAUAAUUACGGACAACUUGGGCACAUUUCUACCGUAAAAUUGAUGCAGGUUUAAAAGCUGUGGGAUAAGAUGAAAAGGUAUAAGAACGGAAAGAAAGAGAUGAACGAAGAAUUCAGUCCUUCGGUACGAGGAAAUACUAUUAUCAACUCUAAAAAACUAAUUAUAUUAAUCGAAUGCCGUGUACACACAGGGGAUACCCGAAUCUCCUAUAAUAAAUCUUAAUAUAUCUGUAAAUUUAAACUGAUUAAAAAUAACCAAGUAGUCGAAUUGAAAUUUCACAAAAUAUACAAAUUUUUAAAAAAUAAUCUAAAAAUGCAAAAACGAAGGCCUAAACAGUUAAAAACAGGCACUUAAGUGAAAAAUUAUGAUCAUUUAAAAAUUUUUCGCUCCGACGGUAAAAAUUGAAACUUAGCUAUCAUAACAUUAGGAUUUAGAUAUGUUUCACACAAACUGGGCCACCAAGUAUUUGUCAUUUCGAAUCAUUCAUUAUUAUCCUCAAUAUUUAUUAAUCGCGAAUACAAAAGAGGUGCUAUCACUGGGCCGGUCUUGUCGGAGCGCAAGCUCGACCCAAAUGCCAACUUGGGCUCCACUUCUUGAGUUUGGCCCAAUAAAAAUGGACCAUGGUAGUAGGGCCGUCAACAAGCCGAACACGAUGGGGUUGGCAUAUGUUUGCGCAUUUAUUAAACAAGCAAAACACGACCCGACUCAUUAAAAUAUACAAAUGCAACUCAUGUAAGGCUUGUUUAUUAACAAGCCGAACACGAGCUGGCUCGCGAACAGUAAGCUAGGCAGCUCUUCUACUAAGUGAAAAGUAAAAAAAAAUUCGAAUCUUAAUUUAAUAGUUAAAAUCCACAAAAUUAUAAGUGUCUUUACAUUUGGGCUGAUCUAAAAAUCCAAAUAGUAAACAUUUGUGUGUGUGUGUGUGUGUGUGUGUGUGUGUGUGUGUGUGCGCGCGCGCGCGCGCGCACACAGUGUGUAUAUAUUCCAGUUAUGUCGAGUUGUGUUUGGCUCUUUAAAAUUUUGAGAUGAAAAUUAUAGUACGUGCUCCACAUUUUAUUAAACAAGUGAUCGAUCUCGAACUCGAGUCGAACACAAACUAGUUUGCGAACAGUGAAUUCCCAGCCCUACAUAAAACAAAGCACAACAUAAUUUUGCGGGUUACUAUUGAGCUCUCAAUUAACAUAAUUUUGUGGGUUAUUAUUCAGCUAGAGUUUGUGCACAAACUUGAAGGCCACCCGACUCUAAGGGCUUGUUUGUUUAUACGAAAGUGGGGUGGAAGUGAAAAGGAGAAGUAAUUUUCGGUAAAAAUAGAUCACUUUCGUUGUUUGGUUCAUCAUAAUUUUAUUACGCCCGAAAGUCUAGUUCACCCAAAAUAAUAAAAUUGACUUCCCCCCUUCCAUGGGGUGAAGUCAAUUUCGGUGAGGUGAAAAGAGGCAAGAGUGAGAAUUAAUGUGUUAGGGUUACCCUCUUCUCUAUCCUUUCCUCUCCCGAGUACCAGACCCGACUCCAAAUAUAUUCAAUUGUAGAAGUAAUUAAAUUUUUUAUUUUAAUUGUAUGUCUAAAAUGUGAUCAAAGUUGGUUAGGUAAGUUUUAAUAUAUUUUUUGUUUAAUUUGUAUAUUUAGAAAAUGAUGAAAAAUGAAUUUGUUAAAUGUUAAUAAUUUUUUAACUUUAGAAUUUUAUUUGUUGUAUUAUUAUAAUUUAUAUGCAAACAAAUAAUCAAAUUUUUUAAAAUUUUAUUUUAUGAUCAUACAUAUAUAUAAUUAUAUACAUAUAUAAUUAUAUUAAUUUUUAUUUAUUAUAAUUUAUUAUUCACUAAGUUACAAAAUAGAUAAUGAUAUCACUUCGAAGGUAAGUAUACCGAGAGUGAAGAGCUACACUUUUUACGUCAUCUACUUUCAACCAAACAAACAACAGAACUCACAGAAUUACACUUCCACAGUUAAAAACAAAUAGCGGAAGUGAAUUAAUUUUCAUCCGAACUCCACUUCAACCCAAAGUCCACUUCCAUUCCAAGUAAAGAUGUCCGUGGACCGGGUCGGGUCUGGGUAAUUAAUAUACCGUACCCAUACCCUAAAAAGAAAUGGUUACAAAAAAAUAUAUAUACCCUACCCAUUUAACUUUGGGUCGGGUCCGGGUCUGGGUACUAAAGUUUCUAAUAUACCCAUCGGGUCUAUUUGAGCGGGUCUGGGUAGUGACUACCCGUAUACUACCCGUUCAAAAUCGGAUAUGGAUCGGGUCUAAAUCGGGUACGGAUAUCCGUAUAAAUAUAUUUUUUUAUAAACUUUAUUAAAUAGUCAAUAAACAAACUAUAUUGUUGACAAUGAAAUAUUGUUGGCGGAAAUGAAAUGAAAAAAAAGAGUAGAAAAUAAAGAGUAAAAAAAUUAGAAAAAAGUAAUGAGUAAAAGAGACGGCUAGGGUUUCAUUAGGAUGAAAAUACAUAGUGACUCAUCAUCUAUAAGUCAUAUUAAAAUUGAUCCUUCAAUUUCAAAAGUUUAUUUUUUUUUAUUUACUAUCGGAUAUUUCAUCGGGUCCGGGUCCGGGUCCGGAUUUGAAAACUAUUUCGGACCCUACCCAUUUAAAAGUUAGGUUCGGGUCGGGUCCAAAUCGGGUAUGGGUAUAAAAUAUCCGGACCUAUACCCGAAAUUUUAAUGGGUAAUUUUUUUAUCCGUAUACUAUUUAUUUUUUAUCGGGUCCGGUUCGGGUCCGGGUAGGGUUCGGAUCGGGUAUGGGAUAUCGGGUAUUUUGGACACCUUUAAUUCCAAGUCUACUUACGUUGAGACAAACAUGCCUUAAGUGUUUAUUUCGCGUGGCUCUUUGGAUUUAGUUUUUAGUACCAUAGGGUAGAAGAUCAUGUGGUAAAUUUUUUUGGACUCAAAAAGGAAGAAGCUACAGGGUGAUCUAUAUAUCUUUUCUAAAAAAUAACACUUCUGAAAAGUUAAAAGUUACGUUCUAUAUUCUUUUCAUUAUAUUAAAAAAUUAUGACUAUCAAAAUAUUACUGUAAAUUAAAAAAAAAAAGUUGCUAUAAAAUAUAAGUUAUCACUAUUACUAUAUCAAAUUUUACGAAUCAUUGCUACAAUUGAACUAUAAACUGUGACGAAGAAAAAUAAAAUCUAGAACCAAAUUUGCACUUAAUCCUCCGGCGGAGAGGGAGCACACAUUCUACAGCUCGGUGCGCAAAACUUUUUCGCCCCUUAUUGCUAUGAAUUUUCUAUGUUUGAUUGACUUUUUCACAGAUGUACUGUGAGAUCGCCUUGUGCACUGGACUGCUAUAUAACUAUAUGACUAUUUCUGCUUUUUUUCUCAUCUUCUCCGUUAACACGGCCCUGGUGAUCUCCACCGCGAGAUGCGCGUUAGUCGUGGCGAACGCCUCGUACUCCUCCGAGAACACCACCUCCUCCAAAUUCUCCGCAAUCAUCCUCAUCGCCCCGUCCUUGAGAACCCUAUCCGAGCACGUCUCCGCCACCUCGAGCACGCCGAGAGCGUUCGCGGGGCGCAGCGUCACGAGCACGCGGCGCACGCACAGCUUCCUGAGGAAAGGGAUGUCAUACUUGUCAGCGGCUAUGAGCAAUGAGUAGAGGCGCUUGUCUUCAGCGAUGUCGGUGGUGGUAGUGCCGGCCGCGAGGGGGAGGGCCCCGGCAUAGACAAAGUCGAGGAGGGCGCGGAGGUCGUCGUGGGAGAGCUCCGGAAGGGAGAUAGAAUCGGCGGCGGGAGCCUUGCACGCGUCAUCGGAGGACAGCAUGUGCCGGAAGAUCUCCGACCGCGUUGCCUACAAUUUCAGAUAGAAUGCGUUACAUGCUGUGAGAAAAGGUAAAAAAUAAGAGUACCAAACUCUUUAAUACUUUCACGUCGAUUUAGACCAAUAAUAUCAAACAAAAAUUCAUAAUUUAUAAUUUUUUAAUAUUUUUUUAUGUAAUAAUUAAGUUGUUGACACUGUUUUCGAGCUGUAGAUAAAAAGUUUAGUACUACUUUAAAAUAUUUUAACCAACUCUAUUUUGUUUGUUUUCAGGUAGGUGAUAACACCACAUUGGAAGGAAUAAUUUGAUAAAAAUAUAAAUCUAUUUUUGCUCUUUCCAUUCUAAUUGUGCAUUAUUUAGGGCACUUACAACAUUUUAGAGACCAAAUUUUACAUUUUCUUUUAUUGACAUUAUUUAUCUAAUAUUUAAGUAAGCUGUAUUUAAAAUCACUUGAUUACUAGGAAAAUAGUAAAAAAAUAUUACUAUUAACUAAUAAAUUGAAUUUUUAAAAAAUAUAAUAUUGAUUGUCGAUACAGAUAUCUUAUUCAUAGAAUAAAAUACGAAAUUACAAAAGUUUUUUUUAAAAAAAAAUUAUAAGCAUUCUUACUAAACUCAUGAUAAACCAUUUAUAGAUUGAUGGUUCCCUGAUCUGGCAAAAGAUUAAAAAAC